AAGGAGACUCAUAUUUAAGCGAAGAAGAAACAGGAAGGGCCCCUCUUUCCCCUCUGCUCCUGCUCCAGCGUCACGAUGUGAUCCACCAGCAAGGAGGGACGACAAUAAGGCAUCCGAUAAGAUAAGUCUUAUAAAAUAUAUAGAUUUAUGAUAAUUAAGACUAAGCUAACAGAUGAGAAGUCCUAGUCAUUGGCCAAACAGCUUUUUAUUAAAAAACAAUAAGAUAAACAUACACAGAAGUACUUCCCCCAUCAUAUGACCUUUGUGACGGGCUCCCUUUGUUUAGCAUAAUUUGUGAGGGUGAUUGCCUCUGUUGCUUACUUUGUAGAGUGCCUCAGAUCUUCCUGUGAAAUGGUGGGCCAUGAACAAGACCUAACACAGCUUGUCUUCCCAUCUGUUGAUGCUCACUCUCCCCUCUCUUCUUUCUGGCUAUUAUACAUAACCCUGCUCUAAACACGUAGGUUAUCUUUUUCAUUGAUUUGUUGUCUGUGUGUUUGAUUAGGUAUAUUUGUCUGUGUCUGUGCAGGUGCUCUUGGAGGCUAGAAGGUAUCAGAUCCCCCCCAUGCUGGAGUUACAGAGGGUUGUGAAUUGCCUGAUGUCAGUGCUAGGAUUGAACCCAGGUCCUCUGCAAGAGCAGUACAUGUUCUUAACUACUGACCAUCUCCUUAGCCCCACAAUUAUGUAUGUGAUUUUUUUCUGGACAUAUUCUUUCAUCUUUCUUAGUUAUACACCCAGGUGUGGAGUUGCAGGAUCAUACAGUAGCUCUGUGUAAGAGUUGAAGAAAGUGUCCAAGUAUUUUCCCCAGGUGCUUACAUCAUGUUACAAUACCACCAGCAAUGUACUAGGAUUUGUUAAUUUUUUUUUUUUUUUUUGCUUUGGGUUAUAAGGUGGGAACUCAUUCAGCCUUUGAUCUCAUGUUGGCCUCCAACUUUCUAUAAUGAUCAAGGGUAGCCUGGAAUGCCCAGACCUCUGGCCUCUUCUAACUACUGAGUUGUAAGAGCUUUUUAUAUAUUUUAGACCCACAUUCCUUAUCAUACAUACAUACAUACAUACAUACAUACAUACAUACAUACACACACACACACACACAUAUAUAUAUAUAUAUAUAUAUAUAUAUAUAUAUUCUGCAAUAUUUUCCCUGUUCUGUGAAUUGUGAUUUCCUUUUACUUUCUUGAUUGUAUGUUUGAAACACAAAUUUCUAUAAUUUUUAUUAAUUCCAAAUACACACACACACACACACGCACACACACACACACACACACACACACGUACUGAAUAGAGUCCAUGUCGCCCAGACUGGCUUUGAACUAUGUGGCUGAGAAUGACCUUGAAUUCUGUUCCUCCUACCCUCAGCUCCUAUGUGCUAGGAUCACAGGCAUGAACCACUAUGUCCACUUUUGUGGGGAAUGAGGGGUGGAAGCCAGGGCUUCAUUCAUAUGAGGCAAAUAUUCUACCAACCGAGUGACACCCGUCCUUCCGUUCUCCUUAUGUGAUUUGAGAAUUGCAUCUAAAAAAGUGAUUGCCUAUUCUAAGAUAACAAAAAUGUAUGCCUCUGCUUUCUCUAAAAACUUUUAGUUCUUAUUUUUUGUUCUGUAGAUCGUUUUGAGUAAAAAACAUGAGUGAUACAGGGUCCAACCACCCUGUGUGCUGUCCUAGAAAGUAAGCACCAGACUUGAGUCUGUCCUUUCCCUGUUGAGUGGCCUUGGGGUCCCCAUUGAAAGUCAGUUUAGCAUAAAUGUGAAGGUUUGAUUCUGGAUUCUCAAUCCUGUCCCAAGGAGGGAUGUGUCCAGCCCCGUGUCGACACUUCAUGCCUUAAUUCUUGUCUUUUUCAACAAAGCUUGUACUUUUUUUCUUAGAGUUAUUUUGGCUACUGUGGGUCCUUUGAGUUUCCAUAUGAAUUUUAGGGGUUAAGAAAUGGUAGUUGUUACUCUGGCAGAGUUUGUAUUGCAUAUGUAGGUCAGUUGGGGAACAGGCCCACCCUGACAGUGACAGGAGUGCAGGGCAUUUUUUGUUUCUUCCAACAAUGCUUCCUAGUUUUUCAGUAAGUUUCAUGCUUCUUUUAGUAUACUUAUCCAUCAGGACUUUAUUACUUUUGACUCUGCUGAAAAUAGAUUCAAACUGAGUCUUAACUUUUUCUAAAAUUGCAAUUAUUUUAUAACAAAGGCAUAAUGCCCUAAUGAUUAGAAACCAAUGAAAAUCUUCAUUUUAGUUUUGUGAAGAUCUGGGAAUCUCAGACCGGCAUUUUCUGUGGAUGUUGGUUCUGUCCUUUCUUUCUUCCUUCCUUCCUUCCUUCCCUCCUUCCUUCCUUCCUUCCUUUCUUUCUUUUUUUCUUUUUUGACAGGUUUCUCUGUUUAACAGUCCUGGCUAUCCUGGAACUCUCCUCACAGACCAGGCUAGCCUCGAAAUGACAGAAAUCCUCCUGCCUCUGCCUCCUGAGUACUGGGAUUAAAGGCGUGUGCCACCAUUGCCUGGCUACUGAGAAUGUUUUUAAAUGUCUGAAAUUGAUUUCAGUUUGACUGUAACAGUGUAGUCACUAACAAAGUUGAAGAAACUGGCCUCACUCUUAACUCACAUUCAGCACAUCUCAAAGUUAGAAAAGACAAAUUUGUUAUGCAAAACUUCUUAGGAUUUUAAGGAUAUGGCUUAACAAAAUAGAUGUUUUAUUGGAAAUUUGCUCAACAAUUUUUCUUCUUAACCUUGUGUAUAUAAAGCAAAUAAGAAAGAAGACCCUUUUGUACCCAUGAAGUAGGGAAGUAAGGGAGAUGGCUUCAGUAAAAAAGGGAAAAACACACAGUUGCUUGCUCCAAAUCUUGACUAUAGCUGUCUUAAGAGGAAGCACAGCUGACAAGGGGACCAGGCCCCUGCCUAGCCUUAGGCUGUGACAUACCUUUCCAUUGCAGGUUUGAACAGUCUCCAGUUUAAUCAUACCCGUGGACUCAAUCAUCAAGGCCCUUGGAGAUUUCCAUUACAAAUCUCAUCCAAAUACUUCCCUCUACCAUGUAAACCUGCACCAUGGAGAGCCGUUUGUUUGUCUGAUUAAUUUUUAGUUUUAAGUUGAUAGAACUUGUUGAUGUUAGUAUCUGGGACCAUUUACUGUUAUUAGUGAAUUGAGAUGUGUUUGGCUGUGACAGAUCCAAACAGUCAUUUAAAACGUACUUAAAAGAUCCUCCAACCAUAAAGCUAGUCUCUCUGGCCUGGAGAGAGGGCUCAGGGAAAAGUUCUUACAGCCAAGCCUGAUGAUGGGAGUUUGAUCCUUGGUACCAAUGUGGUAGAAUAGGACUAACUCCCACAAGUUGGCCUCUGACCUCUGCACACACCAUUGUCAGCCCCAUCAAGCUUUCUAAUACAUACAUACACACACAUACACACACACACACACACACACACACACACACACACACACACACACACACACAAAGUAAAUAAAUAAGAGUGCUUAACCUAAAAAUUUAAGAGAAGGAGUUAAGUCCCCUUAGGAAAUGCUAAUCCUGCUAAAAUCAAAGCUUCUGGAAAGAAAAAUCAUAGCUCCUCCCCAAUUCCCACAAGGCAAACAAGAGCUAUAGCUCCCCCCAACCCCCAUCUCAAAAGGUGAGCAAGAGCCCAGUUGCAAUGGAUGCUCAGAUGAGCUCUUGAAAAACUUAACAUUUUUCAUAACUCAGGCCUAUAUACCCUUACCUGAAGAAAGUAAAUAAGAGGGUUCAAAAUGUAUUAUGUAUAGUGUGUAGUGUGUGUGUGUGUGUGUGUGUGUGUGUAUGUGUGAUUCCUGCCAUCAUCAUCUUUGGUAUCCAGUAUGUUCAUGUAUGGAUUGAUGUAGAGGCAUAUGAGAACUCACAGCCAGAGUGUGUUAGAUAUUAUGUACAUCUUCUGACUAUUUUGACCAGGCUAUGUGGUCAUUGGUCCCAGGGAAUUAAUGUAGUUCACCGUUCUGUUGGAACCCACCUAACAAAUGCCAGUCUUUAAAACAAAACCCUGAAAAUCCAAUCCCUUCUUUCUAAACCUCGACCUUAAGUCUCACACAAUAAUUUGUAUACCUUCUUGUACCACUGUGCAAAGCAAACAAACAAACAAUCUAGCUAGGAUAACAUUGCAUCUUUAAGACAGAGGCAGACAUUGCCUUGGGGACCACUCUUAUGGUACACAAACAAGAAUAUAACCAGCAUGCUGAAGCUCUCUAAGAGAUGCCAUUUCACAUUCAAGAGAUGCUAAGCUCAUCUCCCAGGAAUGGAAACUGAGUCAACAUGAUGAAGAAGAGGUCACAGUCUUCUGGGUGUCCUGAUGAGAGCAAGCCAAAGGCUAUCUCCCACCUUGAAGAACAGAGCAAAAUGGCUGUGGCUGUAACCAAGAUUUUCCACAGAUGACUCUCUGUGAGGUGAAAUCUUUUUCGUGAUGACAUUUUCAUCAGUAGAAAUUCUGAGGCAAAUUGUUCAUCUGCUCAUCCCGCCAUGAGAGGCAUCACCAGAACCCUCAGCCAAUCUCUCUCUCAGCAGUCACUGAAAAUAGCCAGAUCUCAUCUGCUGCACCUCUUUGCAAGCCUGUCAUCCCUCGCAUGGCUCUGACAGACCCGUGACUUCCUUUGUACAGGCAUCUGUGGGCUGAGUAAUUCAGGUCUCACCAGUCACUGGUCAACAACUAGCAAGCCAUCUGAGGCCAAGUCCUGGUGGAGAAAAAUUACCUUUAUUUUAUUUUAUUUACCACUAUUGAGUAUCUAAGCACAUAGCAUGCAGUGAGGGUAACAACCCGUCUUUUCUGUAAUCUAGGCCAAGAGAGAGCACAAAGACAAACAUAUUCUGACUUCCAAUGUUUCUCAGACUCUAACAUCACCCAUUUAAUGCAGCCCAGUACUCAAGAGAACACUUCUUUCUCAAACGCUUGGUUUGUCUUAUGUUCAAGUUGCUCAGCAAGAGAAUCCUAGCGAAAACAGGAGCUCUGGCUAUGUGGAAUGUUGUCUUUGUUAGAAGGUCAGCUACCAGGUAACAUGAGGGAAUUCAUUCUACUAUCAAGAGUUAACCAUCUUUCAUUGCUCAGCAUCUUGUUGGGAUCGUGCUGGUCUGUCAUGUUACGGGAAGCCUACCUACUGAUGGGAACACACUUCUCUUUUAUGUGUGGAAACACUUUCGACAGUUUUCAGCAUAUGUUCGCUUACUGAACACUUGUAGGGAAAUUGAGUGACAGGCUUGGCAAUGGUUCUGUUAAAAUUUUAUCUGCAGAAAAUAAGAAUAGUGGUAGUUCCUCCUUAUUGGUCAUUUUAUAAUGAAUGUCUGUAUAUAUUGGUGACUGAAUACCGUGAUGACUCCAUGAUGAAGUUUUGGCUGACUUUAGUGCCAAUUUUACUUAUAUCACUAAUCAAGGGCAACAUUACUGAUUAUUGAGAAAUCUCUAUUGGCAAUUACAAUGUAUUAUUAAUGUGUAAACUUGGCUGGCCUGGAACUCACUAUGUAAACUAGGCUGACAUAUUAACAGAGAUCUGCCUGCUUCUGCUUCCCAAGGACUAAUCAAUGGCAUAUACCACCACAGCCAGCCCUUGAAAUUAAUAUUUCAAAGUUAUUUAAAUAUCAUUCAUCUCCUUAAAAUUACCCUGAUCACAGAAGCAGCCGCUUACUAAUAAUUUUAAAUGUUGAUUGGAAUGAAUAAAUGAAUCACAAAAAUGAAAUUAUCUUUAAAGCACAAUAUGAAGUAAAAAUGUAGAGUUUAAAUUGUAGCUUUUUUUUGGUUUUUUGAGACAGUCUUUCUUUGGAGCCUAUCCUGGCACUCACUCUGGAGACCAGGCUGGCCUCAAACUCACAGAGAUCUGCCUGCCUCUGCCUCCCGAGUACUGGGAUUAAAGGCGUGCACCACCAACGCCUGGCCUAAAUUGUAGCUUUUAUUUACUCAACUUACAAUAUGUGUGUGAUUAAAGCAUCAAUUUUACCCUAUAAGCAUAUGCAAUAAAAUUUAAAGAUAAAAUUAUAGCUAUAAUGUUGCUGCAAAUAUAGAAAACGUAAAUGUUCACAUCGACAGUGUUAAAAUAUACCACAAAUACACAGAAACGUUGACUUUGUUGUGCAAUAAAAUUGAAAGGAAUGCUCCAACAGAUCCAUCUAAAGCUCAGUGCAACAAAAGACAUCUUAUAACUGAACCAUCUAAUUAUACCCAAAACUAGAUACUUAAGAUUCUGAGCUAAGGGGCCAAGUUGGAGCUCAGGGGUUGGCUAGCAUACCCAGGGACUUAGGUUCAGUUCUCAGUACUGGCUUUCAAAACAGAUAAAAGAAAAAAUUACCAAGUAAGAAAACAAUAUAGCAAAGACUCAAACCUUGCUCUGAAGAUGUCCAUCUGUAACCAAGACCUGUGAAAAAAGUGGAACCCACAUGGGCUGCUCUCUUUGGGUAAAUGAUCCAUCCUAUAUUGUAGAGUUUUAAUAGGUUAAAGUAAGGGACAAUGGACAUGGCUUAAAAUAAAAGCACCUGAGUUAUAUAGACCCCAAACAUAAAACAUUUAACUGUCAAGGCUGAAAAGAAAGAGAGAGGAAGUUGUAAUCACCUCCAAUAUGAUUCCUGCCAAAAGGUAACAAGUGUGACUCAAUUACAGAAAAUAAAAGGAUCUGAUCAUAAAAUAAUAAGCAGAUAACUAAAUACUGGAAAUUUUCAAUAAAAAUAGAAAUGCCAGAUUUUCUUGACAAUUUAUGAAUCCCUUCUCUUUAUUUUUAAAUCUCUCAUAAUCUUUUAACAUUUGUGAAUCCCAGUUUUGACUCUGGAAAAAAAUAAUCCAUCGUAAGCAUCUGCUCUAUCAUCGAAAGCUGAGAAAAUUCCAGAAAUAAGUCAGAACUACUGUAGUCCCAUCAGAUCUGGGUGGUCCCCAAUUUAGUGAUCUUGACAGUUUUGAUGAGUGCUGUCACAAUUUUCUCUCUGUGUCAUUUUUUUUGUCUUUUUUUUGCAAUUUUAUUGAGAUAAUUGUGGGUUCAUAUGCAGCAGUAAGACAUGAUCUGGAGAGAUUCUGUCUCAGCCUCGGUUCCACGGCAGAUAAGGAAAUCCCACAGCCUGGGAGUGUUACAAAGAAAACUGGUUUAUUUGGGCUUAUGCUGACCUAAGGUGGAAAGACUGUAUCUGAUGUUGACCUUCUAGCUCACAGAGGUGUGAGGCAAAAUACAGUCUGUAAAGACAACAGAGAAGAGGAGAACAUGAGAAAGCAGCUUUUCUUUAGGCUCUCUCUCAACCUACUAACCCUUUAAUCCAUUAAUCACAUGAAUGUAUUAACCCAUCAACCAGGGCAGAGUCCAAGUCACCUGGAAGGGAACAGGCUGGUCCUGCCUUGUCAUAUCUUAUUGUAACACACAUUGUACUGGUAAGUUGUCACGUGUCACUGAAAAGGUCUGGGCAUUGUGAACUGAAAUUAAUAAUUCUUCCUUUUAAGUUGUUUUGGGUGUCUCAGUCACAGUGAGGCAACAGUCAGUAGUACACUCUAUUAACUUUCGGGGGUCUACAUUGGCUUUCUUCUCAAUAUGACAAAAGACAAAAGUCGUUGGGCAUUCACAAGAUGACUAAUAAGGUCCACCUGCUUGCAGCCAGAUUUUUCGUGGUUUAUUUCUUCAUUCAAAAUAAUAUUUACAGUUGGUUACUGAGCCCAUACAGUAGUCUCUAAGAAAGAAAACAAGCAUGGUCUCUGCUCUCAUCAGACUUACAGUCCACUGGACAGCCAAGGUGGGACUGACCACAAACCUGCUGGAAUCGAAUAAAUGCAAAAACCAGCUUUGUUCUUAAGAAGUUCAAAGCAGUUUCAUUACUUGCCUUUCCAAGUAAAUGGCAUUAAUUAAUCUGCUCCUUGUGCAGGUCUAGUGAAGGAACGUUGAAGUGCUCACAAAUUUGAUUCAAAGAGAAGCACAGAAAUGGUUCCUCACAGAUAUGGACCUCAGCCGAUGACACGGGAUUGUGUAGCAAAGUGUAAAGCAAGCAAUGCAAGGUGUUAUCUCAGGGACUCCCAAAUGCUUUACCUUGGCCUUUAGUGGUUGUGUUUGAUGAGGGACUCUAGUCACACAGUUCUCCCAGAAGCUCUGUGGUGGACUAAUACUUCAGGAGGAAUCUGUUAGGGAAAGAAUGGCAAUAUAUAUAUAUUCUGUGUGUGUGUGUGAUGUGUAUGUAUGACGUGUGUAUGUAUAUGUACAUGUAUAUACAUGUUUUUGUGUUUGGGUGGCACACAUGAUGAAUGCGUGGAGAUCAGAGGACAACCUGUGAUGUUGGUCCUCACCUUCCACCUUAUUUGAGACAUGGUCUAUUUUUUCUGAACCUAGUGUGUACACUAGAUUAGGUGAACCAAACUUCAAUGGAUUCUCCAAUCGCUCGCUGACUUCCACCUUCCCACAGGGACACUGGAAUUAUAGGCAAGCUUCACAGCAUUCAGUUUUAUAUGGGUGCUGGGGAUUUGAACUCAGAUUCUCAUGCUUGUAUGGCAAGUACUUUACCCAAUGACUCCAGUAAUUUAUAUCAUACAUCAAAAUUAAUAGUCUGACUGAAAUUUAAUAUCUGGAUGGUAAGUAUUGAUUAAUAGAAACUAUUGUCACUACAGGCAGGCUCAAGCAAAUCUUUAGGCCCAGACUGACUUAUUCUAAAUCUUAGAAUAUAUUUUCAGCUUACUCAUCAGGAAUAUCCUUUCUAUAAAAAUCAAUCUUCAACUUUGACUAUGCUUAGGUUGUUUUAUGAUAGGAUGCAUCAAAUUGUUCUAAAACUCCCACAAAUUCUUGGGACAAGGUUUUGAACCAGUUUCUUCAUGAAGGUGUUGAAGUAACUCAAAGUUGGUUCUUUUUUUAUUUUUCCUUUUUUUUCUUAGUAAAAACUGGCUUUUAUACAUACUCAGUUAUUGACUGCUGUGCACAAAUAGAAUAGCCCUCUCUGGGCUAGCAUACAAGUCAGGAUACUAAAUUUGUACAACAGAAUGUCAGCUUUGCCACCUGCACACCUGUUAUCGCAAGCAUAUGGCAUUCUCUUUAAUCAACAACACAAAAUAUAGGCAUCUCAGGCACUCCUCAGAGACUGCAGGCCCGCCUCCCAUCUAGCACUUGGCAAAAGCUAACUUACAACAUCUGAUAUUUGAAGGAGAAAUUAUAAUACAAACUAACUCCUUAUUCCUUUAGGUACCUAAGUUAAAUGUUUUUUUGCUUAAAUGUAAAUAUUUCAAAAACAAGGGAUCUCUAUGAGCCUCUUGCAGAAGGUCUUAUGCAAAGAUGAGUCACAAUCAAGGUAAAUACACACUCACCUGUGGGCUGUUUUGACAUUGCUUGUAAUUAAUUAUGUGAUAAUCACAUUUGAAGACCCAAAGUGAAAUAUAGAAAACUAGGAGGGCCUCUAUUCUCCAAAAAAUUAGGGAGCUACUAGUAACCCUCAAUUUUCUUAUCUUUGAACUAUUUUUUUAGUGAGAAAUAAACUUCAAACCUCUUAUUAUUUUGAGUGAUACAGAUUGAUCAAUAGUAAUCUUAAUAGUCAUUGUCUUGCUUGAUUUAUGAAAUAAUCUGUAUCACCCACUACAUGCCUAACAUUGUACUAAACACAGAGGAAUAAUUUAUAUGACUCCUGUUCUCAAAGAAAAAGGAAUUGAUUUGAAAAAAAUGCAAGCAGCAUAUGCCAUUCUUAAUUGUACAGUAGCCACAGUUAACAAAAAUCAAUGGCAAUAGGUAAGCUUAUUUAGGUAUAUUUUACUUUCUCCAUUAUAUAGAAAAAUGUGAGCCAAGCUCUCCAAACCACUUCCAGUGUCAUUUGCCUUUUCUCUUUAGAUCUGAAAUUCACCUGCUGUUGGUUUCUGUGCAAACUGUAAAAUCGGCCCAGUUCUGUAUAGUUUAGCAGGGUGUCAGGGCAGCUUUUUAGAUGCUCGUCCUUCCUCACUGCCCGCCCCCCCAGCCAUUUCUAACAGCCUGAGUGUCCUUAUAUUUAUUGUUUCUAGUUCUGUGUUUGAUCCAUUGCUCUAGCAUAGCAUCACAGGGAUUACUUAACAGUUUCUUACACUAAGAUAUUUGGUAGAAACAGGAUUCUCAAUACUUUCUUCUCCAAAAGAUUCAUUUUUCUUGACCUCUGUCGUGUCUAUAUAAAGUUAGCUUAUUUUUUCCCUGAAAAAGAUAGCAGAAGAGAGUGGGAAAAGUCUAAACUUUUAAAACUAUGAUGAUGAUGGUGGUGGUGAUGAUGAACAUUGUGGAUGUCUUAGGGUUACUAUUGCUCUGAUGAAACACCAUGACUUAAAGCAAGUUGGGGAGGAAAGGGUUUAUUUGGCUUGUACUUUCACUUCCACGUCAUAGUCCGUCACUGAAGGAAGUCAGGACAGGAACACAAGCAGGGCUGGAACCUGGAGGCAGGAGCCAAUUCAGAGGGCAUGGAGUGGUCCUCUUUACUGGCUUGCUCCUCAUCGCUUGCCCAGUUUGCUUUUUUAUAGAACCUAGGACCACCAGGCCAGGUAUAACACCACCUGCAAUGGGCUGGGCCCUCCUGCAUCAGUUAUUUGAUGAAAUGCCCUACAGCCCAAUCUUACGGAGGCUUUCUCAAUGGAGUUCGAGCUGAUAUGAAAUUAUCCAGAACAGUGGAUGUAUACAUGCCACAGUGUGUGUAGAAUUCAGAGAACAACUCUUUAUCACUUCUCUCCUUCCAUCUAUGUGGUCUCUGGACAUCAAACUCAGGUCAGGAGACUUGUACAGGAAUCACUAUUUCCUCCUUGCCAGCCCAGUUUUCAGAUUUUUAGCUGGCAUUGUGAUUGUUUUCUAGAUCAUUUUGAAGAAAAUUGAUGUUUUCUAAGACUUAUUUUAGGUGUGUGUGUGUGUGUGUGUGUGUAUGAUAGCACAUGCCUGUAGAUGCUCACAGAUUCCCCUGGGUCUAGAGUUACAGAUGAUUUAGUAGCAGCCUGACAUGGUGCCGGAAACUGAACCUAGGUCCUCUGCAAGAACAGUACCUGUUCUUAGCAAUUGAGACAUCUCUCCACCUUGGAAACCGACAUUUUAUAAUAUAUAACUACAUCAUCCGUGUAAAAAUUUCAGAUUUUAAAACUCUAUUUAAGAAUAAAAUUUUAAAUUUUUUAAUGUAUUUUAAAACACAUUUCUAAAUCCAAAUAUAACAUUCUCCUGACAUCAUAAUGGGUCAUGUUAUUUAAAAUUUCAUUAUUUGUUCAUAGCCUGUUUAGCUAAAUACAGUUGCUUUCUUAAUCUAAUUUAUAAAUCCAAUAAUUAUCCACAGGUCUUUUUGCAUGUAAAAUUAAUUAUGACAUUUGUGAACAAAUAACAGUUUGUUCCCCAUUCCUAAACAUACACUUUUUUUCUUGCUGACAGACCAAUGCUUGUUCAUCAUUGUAUUCCUUUCUUCCAUACCCCUCUUGACAACUUGUUUUCUUUAUAGAAAUCUCUAGGCCUUUUACAUGUAGUGUUACUAUUCAUGGACUGGGGUUUGUGUUGAAGUUUAUGUUUGGAUUAUGUCCUUCCUGUUUGUCUCAACUCUUCUAUGCUAUAUUUUCUCUUCCCUAUUACAUUUUGAUUGAUCAAUGUCUCCACUUUAAUACUCCUUUUUACUAGAUUAGUUCCUAUGGUUUUAAUUAUUUCCCUAGAAAUCACAGUAAGACCUUACUGUAUACAAAGGUCAAAUGUUACAUAAUGAACACACUUCUCUUGAAGAAGCUCAAGAAUGCAGACACUCCAGCUUCACCUGUCUCCCCUGAACAUGUGUUACUUCACUCCAGAGUUAAUUUUAUGUCUAUGGUGAUCCUCUGAGCAGCUUCCGCAAAGCAAAGCUCCCAACAAUUUUUUGUAGAUCAGCAAAGACUCUAGAGAUGAAGUGUGUUUUGCUGUUACGUUUACUUCCCUGUGUCUCUGCAUUUUUGCCUUCUUGUGGUCUUGAUCUAAAGUUUUACCCUUCUUUUCAUUGAUUUUUUUAAUGUCUUGAAGUAUUUCCCGAACAGCUAAAUAGAAUGCAAUUUGUUGGUCAUAGAUCAAUCUAAAAUUAACCCAAGCUAAAGGUGACAAGACCUGUAACUGGAAAGAUGACUUGGUGGUUAAGAGCCCUGACUGCUCUUGCAGAAGACCCAGGUUUGGUUCCCAGCACCCAGACUGGGCAGAUCACAGCCAACCUGAACUCCAGCUUCAGGGGAUUCAACAGCCUCUGGCUUCCUUGGUCACCUGCACAUACAUAGUACACAUAAACUAAUGCAAGUAUACAUAAAUACAUCUAAAAUUAGUAAAUCCUUAAGUAAAAAAAUGACAAGACCUUGGACAAAGACAGUGAUGGCAUGUGUGGGAUGACAAGAAAACUCUAAGAGGUAAAAAGGAUUAGCUUAGACCUCUGGGUUCAUAUGAAAUUUGGGAGAUAAGUGUUUCUAUUAUAAUAAUAUAAGCCUUAAAUACUUCUGAGAAUUUAAUGCCAAGAAGAGUUUAACUCCUUACUUUAAUUUUUGUUCUUCUUUUCCCCAAGUUAAAAAAAAUAAUUUGUCCUUUCUCUGGGUAAGUUGAGCACAAAUGAAUGCUAAAUGCCAAGUUUAGCUCCAUUUUUGUAUUUUAAUUGACAAUGUUAUGUUCCUAAAUUAGUAGGGUUUAUGUAAUUUUUAAGUUAAUGUUUCAUAUAACUUUUAAUGUUUAAACAUUCUGAAUUAUUUUUUAAAACAAAUGUGAAAAGUUGCAAAUAAUAAGUUUUGAGAUUGGCCUGUUGGCAUAAUUCAAACAUGCGUUUUAAAUAUUCAGUUUUAGGUGGCACAUUUUAGUGACUUGUUCAAACACAAUAUACAUUAUGUAAAAUAGAUGCAUGAAUCUGAAGGAACCAGGUUGUGAUUUUCAUUUUAGCCCAGUUCUACAACUACCCUCCUGAGAAUUCUGCCCACGUGGGUAAAUGAGCACAUUCAAUGUCUUGAUUUUACUAGAGUUGGGACGAGGUAGCUGAGUGGUUAAGGCAAUGGACUGCUGAUUUUACUAGAGUACUUUUAAGGAAUAGGCUCACAAUGCUUUUCAUGAUUUUGUUUAACUAUUCUGUCCUUUCUCUUGAGAAGGUAGCAGUUGGCUCUCUUAACCCUGUGUCUUAUAGACACAUACAUGCAAUGCUCCCUUCUCCAUCAUCUUCAGGAUUUGUGCUUUGAUACCAUGAUAUUUGGUCCUCCUUGUGAAAUACUAAAGAUGAGGCCAGUUGGAGAAUUUAAAACAUGAGGUCAUCAUCUUCAUCUUCGUAAAUAAAUAAUUUCAUGGCUAUUGAUUUUCAUGAAAUCAGAUCUAUAGUAAAAGCCAGUUUGCCUCUGCCAGACUCCGCACACUCAGAGUAUUCUCACCAGAGUCAAGCCCUCGACUUUGAAUUUCCUGUUAUUUAGAACCUUGAGGUUAAUAAAUUUUUUUUAUUUUUGAGACAGAGUUUCUCUGUAUCUUUGAAGCCUGUCCUGGAACUCACUCUGUAGACCAGUCUGGCCUCAAACUCACAGAGAUCCACUUGCCUCUGCCUCUUAAGUGCUGGUAUUAAAGGCCUGUGCCACUACUGCCUGGUGAGGUUAAGAAACUUACAUUAUGAUAAAUUACUCAGUCUCUGAUAUUUUGCUACAAUACAAAAAAGAGGAAACACAGGCACAUGAUUAUGCUAAAAUUGCUCAAAUAGAAUUUGACACUUAUUCUUUUGAGUAACUUUUUUGUUUCUAUUAAAGUUUAUAGUUGCUUUAAUUACUUUCUUAAAUGGUUUUAUUUUUUGAGAAUUUCAUCAAUAUAUUUUAUAAUAGUGGCACCACAUUUUACCCCUUAACACUCCUACAUAAACCAUAAAAUAAAUCUUUGCAUUAAUAAACUAUAAUGAAUUGCAACCAAUCCAUUGUUUUAUUUCUUGGAGCUAUUGCUCUUGAAACUCCCUUUCUUCCUGGUUGGAUCUAAACUCCAGGCCUCUUAAGCCUAUUGCUCUACUUCCAUCUGGGGUUGUCUCUACACUUUGACACUGGCAUCAUCAACUUCUCUUCCAUCUGGGAUUGUCUCUACACUAUGAUACUGAUACUAUCUUUAUUGUUAUGUAGUGACCUUCUUGGCCUAGAGCCUACUGCAGUCCUGGCCUGGAUGACUGAACUCUUCUACACUGGUUUCCUUUCUUGCCUGGAGCAAGCAUAUCUUCUUGUUGCACUAUUAUAGCAAAUACUCAAAAGUAGAACUUGAGAAUUUAUAUAAUCUUAACUGUCUUUAGUUCUUUUGCCACUUGAUCAGUAAUAGCUUCAUUCUCUGGAAUUCUGGGUUGAACCAAUCCCUCUUCAAACCUAUUAGCUAUCAUCCUGUUGUAUUAUAGCUUUUAAUUUUACCUUUAAAACCAAGCCUGAGUGAGUUGAAGAGGCCUAACUUAACAUUAGUGCAGCUAUGACAGGCUGCAGACUAACGGUAUUGGGACCAGACAUCACCCUUACAAUAACCAGGAAAAAACCACAAACUGUACACUGCAGGGGGAGGGGGCAAUCAGGAUUGAGACAAACAAGUACUAGAUGUUCCAGAACAUUAAGAAAAGCUUACCUAACUUGUAUAUAGGUUGCCAAUCUUCUUGCAGCAACACCUGCACCAAUCCCUGUUUCACAAUACUUCUGUUGCCCCACUCUGCCUAAUCAGGAGUUCAACCCCCAUCUGAACCUAGAAUUCCCCUACCCUGCUUCCUUUACUCCUUAAAAACCCUGCCAUAACUGAGCUCAGGUCUCCAUAAUCCAACUGCUGUGUCAGAGAAGACAGAGGGGCCAAGCUUGAGCUUGCAAUAAAGGCUCUUUGCUUAUGCAUACAGACUCAGACUCCUGGUGAUCUCUGGGACGAUUCAUGACAUAGGCAUAACACAUAUGAGUACAGACACCAUCAGUCUUCAAAACCCUUAUCUCUCUAGAAUUUCACUCCCUAUUCAAAUUCUGAAAUUUCAAAGUAAUUUGAUUUGAUGUGUGUCCCCACACCCUGGAGUCAUUUUAGCCUACAAAUGCAUAUUCUUUGAUAUUUAGCAUUUUUCUUGUACAUUUGAUUGGCAAUGCAUCCCAUUUCUUUUUUCCCUUUAUUAUUAGAAUGUUUUUACUCUCUUUAAAUGUGGUUUUUUUCUUUAUUUAUAUAUUAAUGUUGUGUGAUGUUUUGUUUUCUGACAAAUAAAGCUUGCUUGGAGAUUAGAGGAUGGAGUUAGCUACUAGUUAACCAUAAAGGCUGGGCAGUGGUGGCACACUCCUGCCUUUAAUCCCAGCACUCAGGUGGUGGAGACAGGUAAUGGUAAGUUGGAGUAUAGACAGGAUCUUGGCUGUUUUUGAAUGGAGGAUUCAGACAGGUAGAAAGCAACUGGUGUUUCCUCCUGGUUCUUUGAUCUUUCAAGUCUUUACCCCGAUAUCUGACUCCUUUAUUGAUAAGACUAAUUAGAAUCAUGUUUCAUUUAUGCUCUUUAUGAUCCUCUCUGAGAGGUUUACUCAGAUUUACUUUUCCAAGUUUAUCUUUUAUUCCUUAGUUUUAGUUCUAUUAACAUCAUUUCAAGAAGUAUUCAAUUCAAAUCCACAAAUGUUUAUGAAGCAUUUUUCAAAGUUACUUACUAUAUGUUGGCUGCUCAUGGGAUGAGAAACAAAUAUAUUUGCCAAUUCAAAAGCUAAUAACUUGCCAAUUUAUGAAUAAAUGUAUAUAAAACAAAACCAAUGCUAUUCAAGUCAACAGAUCUUAAAAGUAGAUAAGAAAAAGCCUUUAUCACUAUUAUUUUAAUUUUUAAACCAGAAAUUCAUUUAAUGAGAUCAGCAAGUUAAUUUUAAAAUAUUGCUGGUGACUAUAUACUCAAAAUCAACAAAUUUCUUACCCACAUUGACUCAACUCAUACAAAUCUUUGGUUGACAUUGGCCAAAUGAUUCUACUAUAUCUCAGAGCCUAUGAUGGAUGGGACAUAAAGUUUAGUUUUGGAAAAUAUAUAUUUCAUCUCAUUACAAUUUUGAGACCAAAUAAAGCUGAUCUUAAAAAGUACAUGUUUAACUACUGGCAUAUCCUCUGUGAGGAAAUCACACACUUGCCUUUCACCCUGGCUUUGAAAAAUAAUUUUCUAACCAAGGUCACUUAGAAGAUUAUUCACAUCUUAAAUCUGGUUAUAUAAUGGAAAAUGUCAGGGCAAGAAUGGAUAUUUCACAGUUUUGACUCAAAAUGUAUAGGGAACAUUUAUAAUGGAGCAACAUAAAAGAACUGUUUGACACAAACAGCAGGAGCCUAGAUCCACUUUUCCUUGCAUUGUAGAGUAGGCAAUGUAGGGUUCUAGAAAAGUCAAAAGACAAAAGGCUGCUGUGUUUGUUCUUUAAAAUAAUCCAACUCAAGUCAAUAGCCAGUUUGAUGAUGGAAAGACAAAGUACAGAAGAAAAGUUGGCAGAAGGCAUUAGGAGGGCUGGGACAUUGUCUGCAUAUAUGAACAAUGUUUCCACUAAAGGCAUACAGACAUGUAACACUGCUGAAGAAAAGUCUUAAGUGUGUAAAAGGAGUUCUUAAUUGGUCCAGAUAAUAAAAGGCCAGAGUCAGAUAUAGAGGGAAAUGCUGAGAGAUCAGAGAGAAGGAACACUCCACAGCACACCUUACCUCCUAAGCAUCUUAACAGAGAAGAGGAGAAUGAUUUCCUGUUUCUCUCUGCUUAUAUCCUGUUUCUCCCCAGCUACCUUUCUUCCUGUUUGUCUGUACAGACCUACAAACCUCUAUGGUUAGCUAUUGGCAAGCUUCAUUCUCUGAUCCCCAGACAGGCUUUAUUUGUGCAAGAAAGAUAUCACCAUAUAAGUGCCCUGUAGUUUGCUGCUUUUCUGGAAGCUUCCAUCUAAAGUUUCGCUGCACACCGAGCCCUGUGCUCAGUGGUUCUGAGAAUGAGUUGUGGCACUCAGCUUAACAGGCUGCAUGGCUUGAAAGGUCACAUUUCACCAAGGAGUGUGUUCUACAUUAGUGGGGUGUACCAGUCACAAAAUCAAGGGCAUCUUUAUAUAAUGGGUUAUAGAAAUACAUGAUUGAUAUAACUGACUCAGAUCUUUAUACGCUAUUGGACUUGGUGCCUCACACCUAUAAUCCCAGCACUUGGGAUAUAGAAGGAGGGAGAUCAGGGGUUCAAGAUCUUUGAAUGUAUAGUGAGUUCUUUCCUAGCCUGGGCUAUAUAAGGCUAUGUCUUUCUCUAUUAUUUCCAGUUGUGUGUUAGCUGGCUGGUUGGAUGCCAUAAAACUGAGUAGUUAUGCUUCCUAUGUGUAACAUAUUUCCCCUAAAAAGUAAUGAAAAGAUAACUUUCAUUUUAAGAGUCUCUUAGCGCAGUGUCAAAAUGUAGACCUCACAGCUAUUUGUUGAAUGAAUAAGCUUUUAGUUACAUCCUUUACCUGCUAUGCUAAAAAUCUCCUUGUAUGAUUCUACUUGACCCCUAUGAGACAUUUUUUAUUUUUUAUAUUUCAUUUUAUCCAUUCCUACUGGGUUCAAAGGAAAGAGAUUGAAAUGGUUUUCCAGCAAAUACUUAGGCAGCAUCUACCAUGCCCAUGCUCCCCUGACCUGUAAGACGAUAUAUAUUCUUCAGAAUUACUCAUCUCUAACAAGGUAUCCACAUGCAUCUGACAUGUCCCAAGUCUUUAUGAAGUGGAACAGUGCUUAAUGUUGUUUAAUGCUAAGACUAAAGUGACCUUUCCCCUCCUCACUCCUCAAUGGCCCUAAGUGACAGAUUUUCCCCAAAAAUACUUCCUAAGUAUUUUUCCAGCAAAUCUCAGGGAAUUGCCAUAAGAUGCCUUCAUUGUCCUUUCUCCAGUACAUUUUUCUCUUUUACACACCUGUUCAAACCCUAGGAAGUUAACUCCUUUUUGUUCAGUGAGAACACCAUUCUGCAUCCGUGUCAAUCAAACUAAGGUUAUGUUAGGUCAAUGGCAGGCAAGGCCAGGAGGUGGUCAAAGAGUGCAGAGGUGAAGGAUGAAGGAGAGUGUUUAUUGAUUUUCUCCUCUACUUGCUUGCCCCAAGUGGUUCUAACAGUCCCUGAAUCUCUAUCUCGCCCUACUAAACACAUGGUCUCCCCCUGUAUCCUAGUCUAGUUCUGUAGCCUUCAAACUAAUAGGAAUCCCUCUGCCUCAGCUUCCCAAGUGGUUUGCACCACGGUAAAUGGCUUAUAUUCUACCUUAUUUUUUUUCAGAUACUCUCACUGGGUAUACCUGUAGCUCUGUAGCCCAGGCUAGCCUUAGACUUACAGUGGUCCUCCUGUCUCUACCUCACUAGCGCUGUGAUUGUAGAUCUCAAUCACAAUGUACAGCUUUUAACUCUUAACUACAGAUUCUUCACCAAGUUCCACCACUUGGGUUACAUGAGGCUUGGCUAAUUUUAUGUGUUUACUUAGAUUCAAUUUCAACCACUCAUCACAGGCUCCCAGCAUGUGUGCUUUCCUUAGUGAGGUUAACAUUUCAGUUAGUGACUUCUGGGUAAGCCCGAGAGUAGAGGCAGGCCUUCAGAAGAUAGGGGAGAGGAGGAGGUUCAGAACAGAAAAAUAGUCUGUUACACAUGUGCAUGCAUGUGCACAUACCACACACACACAGGAGUGGGGGGAACAGAGACAGAGGCGGGAGACAGAGAGACUGAUUCAGAAAUUCACAAAAGCAGUGAUAGACUCUGCUAGAUAGAAAAAGAUGAUCCAUACAUAGAAAAGAAACUGGGAUGGAUGACAGUACAGCUGUGUGGUUCCUCAACAGGAAAACAGGUUACAGGGGACACCUCCCAAAAGCAAGCAGGUACCCCUGGUGAUAAGGGAUAGGCAAUCUUAGCCCAGGGGCCAUCUUACAGAUCUCAGAAACCUCAAACCAGUUUCAAGUUUUGAUAAGAGGCUUAUUCCUCCAGGGGACCUUGGGUGAGGUCUGCAGUGCACAGGAAACCAUUAGUCACCCCAUCGGAUAUGGAGAGCACCAUCUGGGGACCAUCUUUAGAGAGAACCUGUUGUCUGGAAGUGAGCUACUUGGGAAACAAUCUCAAGACAGGGAACCUGAAUUUAUCCUGCUGCAGCCCCAGGGUGAGGGAUAGCACAGGGAGGUUUUUGUUUGGGGGGGGAAGCAGGGGUGGGGAGCAGAUGCUGACAAGUCAAAAGGCAGAGGUGGCAAGUUUCUGCUUAGGCAGUGACAUGCUCAGUUGCUGGUGCAGAUCUCAUCAACAGAGACAUACCCUGGAGUCUGACUGCUCUGAGAGAUGAUGGAGGAAGAAACCCACCUCUGAAUCCACACAUUUGCCAUCACUGCUGUGGAGGUUGUAAACUCUGCAUCCCUAAUUGCCAACUUGACCCCUGUGGCUGUAUCUGUCAGCAAGAUGGCAAAUACGUCCAUCUUGAAAGAAAGAAGACAGGCUUGCCACCUGCAGACAACUCAGUGCUAUGACUACUUCCCAUGCUACCAAGGCACUUGUAAAACACCCAGCCCCAGGUAGGGAUUAGCCAUCCCCGUGUGUACCAUCAGGGAGAUGCAGGAGGAUAAACAUGCCCAGCUACCCAGCUAAACUUAGCCAGCAGAGGCCCCUGAUAUGAAAAGAAGGGAGAUGACUGAAGUAAAGCUCAGAUGGAUGCCACACACAGGUCCCGCACAAGGUCAACACCAGUUAAGCCAUAGGAAAGUUUAUGAAAGCCGGGAGGUUGAACUGCCACCUGCUACACUCCAAUGCGUAUAUUGAAGGUUUAUGCUUUUUUGUGCUAAGAAAGAACCUUCUCCAGAGUUUCAUUUAUGUUUACCUCUUAUGCUUACCCACCCUUAGAAAAUUUUAGCAGCGCAUUUUAGUAUAUCUUGUUUAAAAAUCAUGUUUUAAUUUUUAUUUCACUUUCAUACAUCCUCCUAAUUUUAUUUUCACCUUUCAUUAUUGAGUAAUUUUUAUUUAUUUAUUUUCUUUAUUUUUGCCUCUGGGUUGUCCCCUUCUGUCCUUCUCUAUUUCUCCCACGUGCUUGGUGGUAUUUUGAUUUAUCUUAUUGGAAUGAAUUUAUAAAUUUGUUGCUCACAAAAAACAAUUUCUUUGUUUUUUUAAUUUCCCUUUUUAUGUUUAUUGAAUUUUGCUUUGGGACUUUAUUAUUACUGAGAAAUCUAUUUUUAAUUUUAAAAAUAUCUUUUCUAAUCUCUCAUCGUUCUUUUCCCCUAGCAUGGUUCUCCAUUCCAUUACUCUGUUUAACUCUCCUCCUCUCCAUUUCCCUUUUCUCUGCCUCUUUUUUUUUAUUUCCACAUUUACUCGACAUAAUUUUUAAUUUCAUGCCACAUUCUGCACUAGUUUCCCAGUGUCUAGUUUAUGGCCAUUGGUAGCUUUAAUCAAUUCUGAGUGGAUUUCUACAUCUUCUGUGGUUUGAAGGGCCUGCUGUUACAGCAUUUGUUUCCUCCUCACUAAGUGGUACUUGGCAAUGAAGCCUCAAGAAUAGGUUGCUAAAUAAAAGAUCCCCAAAUAAAACCAGAAGAGACAUUCAAACAGCAGAUCUGCACAUUGCAUCACAGAAACACACAAGCUCUGAAAAGGCAAGGCAGGGUGAGUCCUGCAAGCAAGCAAAACUCUAGCACUACUGAAUUCAACAUAAGUAAAACCCCAGACGAAGAGUUCAAAGGCUUACUAGUAAAAAUAAUAGAUGACCUCAAAGAGGACACAGAAGGAUCAUUUCAUUCCAGACCCUGGUGAAGAAAGUCAGCAACAUGGCAAGGGGGAGGAUGUCAGCAAAAUGGAAGAAAAUGUUAACAAGAGAGAAGACAGUUACAGCAACAGCAUUUGAGUUUGGAAAAACAAUAGAAAUGGAACACAAAAUAGAAAACAUCACCAGUGAUAUAGCCAGGCAGAAGAACGAAUGUCAAGGACAGAGGACAAGUUGGAGAAACACAAAAGAAAUACCAAUGCGUCUGACAUACACAGACACACUUGCACACUCAUACGUGUGCAUGUGUUUAUAUUGUGUUUGUACGAAUGUGGUUACCGCAUCCUUUCAGCCUUUCAGACACUGAGGUGACAACAGCUUCCCACUGUUGUCAGCCUGCAAGUUGAUCCCUUGUUGAUUCUUGCGGCUUCAUCAACACAGUCAUACAUAGUCCCUUAGUAAAGCUUCUCCAGACCUUCUGAAGUGAGCCAUCUGCUGGAAGCCUCAAGGACACAGUUGUUCACUGCCAUCUUCACUGAGCCAGCUGGGAGGACACAGGACUUCAGACACUUGACCUUAAAGGCACCUAAAGACACAUAUUUAUCUUACUUAAAUGGUGAGUGAGGUGAACAUGGAAACUUAAAAUCCCAUCACUUGGGACCAUGAGGUAGGAGGACUGUCAUGAAUUUGAAGCCAGCUGGGACUUCAGAGUGAUUAGGCCAGCCUGGGUUAGAAAGUAAGAAACUCUUUUAAAAAUAAAUAAAUAAAUGAAGGCGAUUUAAAAAUCAAAAUAAAUAAAUACAGCCAGAAGACAGAUUACUCCAGCCUGAAAAGCCAUAGUUUAAUCUUUUGUGGACUUCAGUAAGAUAGUAAGAUAUAAAACAACAAGACAUAAGUGGAAAAUCCGUUUUCAGUUUUAGGUGCAACAUGGAUUAAAAAUACUUUACAUUCCAGCCAAUUCAAUAGUGUUAUUUUUAAUGUAAAUGUAUUUUAAGUUGCAAACAACCGGCUUUCACACUUUGACUGCGUUUUUUCUUAGGUCACAACUGUUUAUUUAGAGAGAGUAGGAUACUUGGCCCGGUAGGGCAAUGCCUUUACCCUCAUUAUUUUAUAUCUAAGACUCUGACUUUGCUUGUACCUCAGGCACUAUGAACACUUAUUACAUGGAUGAAAGAAUAAAUAAAUGGCAAUGAAGCUUAGAAUGCAACCAUUUACACCGAGAAAACCUAAGACCCUUGGGUGGCACAGAAGGAGAGGCCACCUGGUUCUUCCCUCUUCACUGGGAAGCUCUGGCCCUCUUUUCUUUCCAGGCCAUUUGUUGUCAGUUAUAUGGUAAAUUCCUUUUAAAUUGGGUAUCAGUCUGUGAAAUUAUUCAGAAAUGCGGGGGCGAUGCUCAUUCCCACACUCUGCUUGGCAAUUUACCUUUGACCUUUACAAGUAAAAGUUUUCUGUUAUCUGCUCUAUAAUUAUGAAUGGAUGGAUGGAUGGGGGUUUGGAAUGGGGGCAUCAAGUGAGGAGGAGGAAGAGGAUUGAGGGAAUAUGGAGAGAGACAGCCAAAAUCAUGGGCCAUUUGAGGUUUAGAAUGGAAGCCUAAUACAGCAGAAACCUCCUGAAAUAUGUACUUAUAUGAAGGAGGUGAUCUAAAUGAGGAGGGAGACAGAGUCACCCAAUGAAGCUUCCGGUACUGGGAUUGGGCUACAGGAGUCCCAUGGGAAUCUCCAAACAACCAAGGCUGUUGCCAAGACAAUAGCUUGUUCCCCACAAACUGACAGCAAGGCCCUGUUGCUGAAGACAACACCCACACAACUCAUUUAACACGGAGAUGUCAAGCUGGUGUCCACGUAGAGCCUUCACCCCUACGCCCUAGUGUCUUCGGUAUUGGAAGGUACUCUUCACGCUACCAAAAGAGAAAUGCAAAUGCCAAGCCAGCCAUAAACCCUUUCUUUGAUUUACAAUGGUGUUCUGCCUGCAAGAUAUGCUAGGCCAAUGGUGGCACAAAGCUUGUGGGACUGACCAACCAAUAAUUGAUUUUACUUAAGGGCCAUUCUACGAGAUGGGACCCGUACCUGGCCCUGCUUGGGUGACCAUGAAUCAGGGACUGGCCAGCCCAGGGACCUAGGGUAAAACCAAAUACUACUGCUCUAAAAAACAAACAACAAAAAAUGUAAUGACAAGCUGGGUGUUGGUGACGCACACCUUUAAUCCCUGCACUCGGGAGGCAGAGGCAGGGGGAUCGCUGUGAGUUCAAGGUCAGCCUGGUCUCCAGAGUGAGUGCCAGGAUAGGCUCCAAAGCUACACAGAGAAACCCUACCUCGAAAACAACAACAACAACAACAACUACAACAACAACAACAACAACAACAAAAAUGUAGUGACAAAAUGACUCCUAAUGAAAUUCUGUUAUACUUAUACAUCAGUGCUUUGUUUAGCCAUCAUCAGAGAAGCUUCUUCCUGCAGAAGAUGGGAACAACACAGAGAUCCACAAUCAGACAAUAUGAAGAGAGUGAGAAACCUUGGAACACUCAAUCCCAAAUGGGUUGUCUCCAUCAAAUCUCUCCGCUUAGAGCUCAGGGAGUCCUGCGGAUGAAGAGAUUAAAAGAGUGUAAGAGCCAGAGAGAAUGAAGGACACUAAGAAAACAAGACCCUCUAAAUCACCAUGGGCAAAGCUCACACGAGCUCACAGACUGAAGCACCGUGCACAGGGCCAGAACAGGUCUGCUCCAGGCCAUUUGCAUAUAUAGCAUAGCUUCCAGUCUAGUGUUUUUAUGGGACUCCUGAGUGUGUGAACAAGUGGGUGUGAUUCUUCUGCCUUCCCGACCUCUUUUCCUUCUAUUGGUUUGUCUUAUACAAAUUCGAUGUGAUAGUUUUGUUUUAUCUUACUAUAUUUUAUUUUGUUAUAUUUGAUUAUUGUCUCUUAGAAGCCUGUUCUUUUCUUAUGAGAUUCAGAAAGGGAGUGAAUCAGGAUGGAAGAGGAGCUGGGAGGAACAGAAGGAGGGGGAACUCUAAUCAGUAUAUAUUACUUGAGAAAACAAUCUGAUUUUUAUUUUUGAUCAUAUUUUAAUUCUUCCCUUUCCUUCUCUUUUUUAGGGAUACCAAAUUUUCAUUGUACAAUUUUUUUUAACUUUUCACCUGUGAUUUUAUUUUUUAUACAUUUUUUUAAUUUAAAGAAUCUUUUUUUACAUGUCAAUCCCAGGUCCCUCUCCCUCCUCUCCUCCCCUGCCCCCCACUGACCCCCUAUCCUAUCCCCUUUCUUCUUCCCAGGGAGGGUGAGGCCUUCCAUGGGGAACUUUAAAGUCUGUCACAUCAUUUGAAGCCGGGCCUAGGCCCUCCCCCGGAGUGUCUAAACUGAGAGAGUAUCCCUCUAUAUGGAAUGGGCUCCCAAAGUCCAUUUGUACACUAGGGAUAAAUACUGAUCCAUUACUAGAGGUGCCAUAGACUGCCCUGUUCUCCUAACUGACACCCACUUUCAGGGGGUCUGGGUUGGUCCUAUGUUGGUUUCCCAGCUAUCAGUUUGGGGUCCAUGGGCUCCCCCUUGUUCAGGUCAGCUGUUUCUGUGGGUUUCUCCAGCCUGGUCUUGACAUCUUUGCUCAUCACUCCUCCCUCUCUGCACCUGGAUUCCAUGAGUUCAGCUCAGUGUUUAGCUAUGGGUGUCUGUUUCUUCCAUCAGCUACUGCAUGAAAACUCUAGAAUGGCAUAUAAGGUAGUCAUCAAUCUCAUUAUAGGGGAAGGGCAUUUAAGUAGCCUCUUGACUAUUGCUUAGAUUCUCUUUAGACCUAUAAUGGCUCCCUCUAUUAUAGUACCUCUUUUCUUGCUCUCCUGUAUUUUUUCCUCUGACUCAAUCUCCCUGUCCUUCAUAUCCUCUUCCCUCCUCUUCUCCCCUUCUCCUUCUCUUAAUUCCCUCCCCCUCCCCUGCCUCGUGCUCUCAAUUUGCUCAGGAGAUCUUGUCCUUUCCCCCUUCUCUGGGGGACCAUGUAUGUCUCUCUUAGGGUCCUCCUUGCUUCCUAGCUUCUCUGGUGGUGUGGAUUAUAGGCUGGUAAUCCUUUGUUCUAUGUCUAAUAUUUAUAUAUGAGUAUGUACUCCUUUUGUGACCAGGUUACCUCACUCAGGAUGGUUUCUUCUAGUUCUAUCCAUUUGCCUGCGAAUUUCAAGAUUCCAUUGUGUUUUUUUUUUUUUCCUGCUGAGUAGUACUCCAUUGUGUAAAUGCACCACAUUUUCUUUAUCCAUUCUUCAUUGAGGGACAUUUAGGUUGCUUCCAGGUUCUGGCUAUUACAAAUAAUGCUGCUAUGAACAUAGUUGAAUUGCAAUAAGUAUAUGUUAUAUGAGAAAAAAUCUAUUUUAAUAAAAGUAAAAAAGUAAAAGUUUUUAACACUCAGCAUAUUCUGUUUUUCAACUUGCAUAUUCUCACAAGAAAACUAGCAGGUCUGUCCAGAAUCACCAAGAAAUAUUCCUAUUCAUACUUUGCCUCACACAGUUUAUUGAAGCUACAGCAAACUGAAGACUUGGUUACAAACUAAGAGAUUUGAAGCCCUUAAGGAUAUGUUCAAAAUGGCCCUCCUCAUCCCCUUCUCUCCAGGUCUACUGAUAGUGUAAUCUUUCCUUUUCUUUUUGAAAGCUUAUUUCAGUUAUUUUUUGUGGGGGGUCUAGACAGGUUUUCUCUCUGUAGCUUUGUAACCUGUCCUGGCAGUUGCUCUGUAGACCAGGCUGGCCUCGAACUCACAGAGAUCCGCCUGCCUCUGCCUCUCCUGAGUGCUGGGAUUAAAGGUGUGCACCACCACCCAGCUUUCUUAUUGUAUUUUUAAUAGAAUAUAAUUACAUCAUUUUCCCAAGCUCCCCCUCUCCAUCCACUAUCAUUCCCCUCGUGACUCCCUCUCACGUUCAUGGCCUCUUUUUCUUCUAUUAUUACAUGUAUGUGAUUUGGUACCCCGCUGAGUCUGUUCAGUGUUACUUGUAUGAUCUGUUUUUAGGGCUGACCACUUUGUAUUGUGUAAGCAUUUAGGGAGCUCAUUCCUGGGGAAAACGAAUUCUUCUGCUCUCUGUAGUCAUUAAUUGCCUGUAGCUCUUCAUCUAGGGGUGGGGCCCUGUGAGAUUCCCCCUAUCCACGUUGGCAUGUCAACUGAUGUCUUUGUUCAGGUCUUAUUCAGCCGUAUUGUUGGAGUGUGGUCUUCCCAUCAUUUCUAGAAGACAGUCUUACAGCUGAGGUCCUCUGGCUCUUUCAGUGUUUCCAUCCUCUCCUCUGUGUGGUCCCCUCCAUGAUGAAGAGGUUGUGUGGUAGAUGCAUCAAGUGGACCCAAGCACUCCCCUCCACAGUCACUUUUUCUUUGCAUUUGACCAGUCAUGGUUUUCUGUUCUGGUCUCUGUCUUGUCUGCUGCAAAAGAGGCCUCUUUGAUGAGGUGUGAGAGCCAUACUUAGCCUAUGGGAGUAAGGAUAAAUAUUUAGAAUGUGGGGAGGAUUGCACUGGUUCAGGAAAGUCGAGGAGAGUAGCUUCUCCUCUAAGAACCAUGACCUCACUCGCAAUAGCAUACUUCCUAUGUGUGGGGAAAUAGAGGAAUUUUCCUGUUUCUUUUUCUGUGUUUCUAAGCAGCAGUAUGAGAGGAACUAAGCCUCAGCAGGUUGGACAUGAUAUGCACUUACUACCAUGUAGUUUGUGGCAUUUGGUAGAUGUGGGCAUUGUUUCUAAUGUCAGGUGGAAACAGAAUCCUAUCAGCUUUCUGCAGCUGUUCUUUGUUGGGAUGAAAGUACUGUGGAACCAUAAGCAAACUGUAAAGUGACAGUGGAGUAACUCAGCAGGAGCAGUUAUUAUUCACUGACCAGCCCAAUAAUGGCUUUUCUAGAAGACGUGAAGAUUUCAUACCAAGACAAUCCAGAGACACAGGCUACUUCCAUAUCAUGGCUCUCUCAUGGCAUCAGACUCCCUAGAGAGCAUCCAGCAAACUGGAGGCAGGCGUGGAGGGUACCACAUGAGAGAUUCCAGUUGACCUGGCUUUCUCACAUCUUACUAUGAAGAACUCAAAUAUUUUAACUCAACAAUGAAAUCCAAAGAGUAUGGAACAUGUGGGCCCUGGGUAAGUAGACAGACAACUCCCCAGUAACAGUUAAACAGUGUAAGAGAACACAGAGUGUUUCUGAGAGCAGCUAGCUGACUCAGCCAGGGAAGUUUAGUCACAUAGGACUGCAGAUAGAAUCCUUCUGUGAUGAUGAAUAAGAAAAGAGGCACACAUCAAACUUUGGAGUGUAAGAUAAGAGGUCCCAUCAGCUUCUAGUACCCCAGCUUGGGUAAGCUCUUGCACUUGUGGUAUUAACACUCAUUUUAUGAAGAGAACCAAGAGGUUCUAUCUCUACAAUUGUGGGCUUAUGCCCAGAACUAACUUAGGAUUUUACUUACAGAUUGGGCUUUACCACCAUCAAGUCCACACAUAUUAAGCAGAAACUGUGGUUCAGACUUUGAAUUUGGACCUUUGCUUGGGCUAGCAACAUAUCUUCCAAUCCUCUUCUCGAUGCUAAACGGAUGAUGUAGCAAGUCAUAGUUUCCAGUCAACCAUGUGAUCACAAGAGGAAAAAAAUGACACUCUACAGUAUGCUGUAUUGCUAAGCUACUGUGUUCAGUGAGCUAGCUAUCUAUAUGCAUUUUUUGACUUACAUAUUUUAAUUUAUGAUAAAUUAUUGGUAUGUAACCCCACAAAUAGAGGGAUAUAAUAUAUAUAUAUAUAUAUAUAUAUAUAUAUAUAUAUAUAUAUAUUGGGGAUUUUCCACCGUUCCUUUUCAGAGAGCUGUGUAUUGUUUUAUCUGAAGGUGCCUAGUCACAGACCCCAUUUACUGUUUCUACCUCUGCUCAUAGUCGAAUACUGCAAAAAUGAUUGUCAUUAGGUAGAAACUAUGCUUCAAGUUUUGAAUUUAGAGUCUUUCAAUGCUAAUGAUAUGCAGAGCAAUCCCAUCUCAGGACUGACAGCUGCUGUGACCCACAGCUCCAAUCAGACAUGUCAACACCAGGGAAAAAAGCUCUUACCACACUGCACUGUGGGAGCGGAUAUGAUAUUCAGUAGGAAUGGAUAAAAUACACUUCGGACCUAAUGAUAGUUUCCACUUCUAGAGGCAUUUAUUGUGAUAGAAAUCUCCUGUAAAUUCAGAAGAAACUAUAUUGUUCUUUCUUCUCUCUUCCUUGGAACUCAAUCGCAUGUAUGUCAAACUUCCUGAUACUUUCCCCCAGGUCGUCAGUUCUCUGUCCACUUUCUUUGAAUUUGCAAAAACACCUAUAUGUUAUCUGGAGGAGUUUCUCUUGCUGUGAUACCAACUCACUGCCAUGUUUACUCUGCCACUAGUCCUAUUCACUAUGAUUUUUAUUACAGGUAGUUUUUAAUAGGGUUUCCCAUUAGGGUUUAUCUGCCUACUCUUAAACUCUUCUGUUUUCUCUUUUUCAUGUACAUAAUGUCCUUAAAUGCUUGACCAUAUUUAUAAAACUUGCACAUUAAUAGUGGCUUUAAGUCUUUUUCCAGUAAUCACAUCACCUGUUAUUUCUGUAUCUCUUUCUACUUAUGACGUAUUCUUCUUGUUAAGAGUCACGGUUCCCUGUAACUUUGAAUCCUUGUUGAUAUUUUUAUGAGAUACUGGGCAUUGUGAACUUUAUAUUUCCAGGUACCAGGUUGUAUUCUUUCCAUGUGGGACUUUGUUGUAGAGUGUGGUUAACUGAUUUCAGUUCAGUUUAAUCCUCUUGUCACCUUGGUUUUAACCUUGCUAGGACAAGCCCAGAGAUGCUGUUAUUCCCAUACCAGGGUUAGUCCCUUCUGGUUGCAUGCUCAUCCUUACAGCAUUGCUCCCAUCUUAUAGCCGAAACUGUGUUCAGUUUCCAGUAUUAUAUGAGCUUAGAAAAUUUUUAUCUUUCUUUCUUAUAUUUCUUCCUAGUUUUCUUCCUGCUGAUAUAUUAAAGCAAUAGGUUGCUACCCCUUGGGGACAACUAAUGACCCUUUCACAUGGAUUGAAUAGCAGAUAUUUAUAUUACAAUUCAUAGCAGUAUCAAAUUUAGUUAUGAAACAGCAAUGAAAAUAAUUUUAUGAUUGGGGGUCACCACAGCAUGAGGAUGUGUAUUAAAGGGUCACAGUAUUAGGAAGGUUGAGAACCAUUGAAUUAAGGGGACUUAUCUGGAUAUCUGUCUUUCUCUCCUGUCCUGGUUGGGUUUUCUGAUUCAUGUUAGAGUCACUUGGGAAGAAGAAUCUCAAUCAGAGAAUUGCCUAGAUCAGAUUGGCCCAUGAACAUGACUGUGGGGCAUCUUCAUGAUUGCUAAUUCAUGUAAAAGGACCAUGGGAGGUACCAUACCUAGGUGGGUAGUCCUGGUUACAGGGCUCAGCACGUAGAGUGAGGGGCAAGCAGUGUUCCUAUCCCAACUUCCCUCAGCGAUAGGCUGUACUCUGGAAGUGUAAGAUGAAUUAAACCCUUUCUUCCUCAAGUUGAUUUUGGUCUGAGUACUUUGUCUUAUGAACACACACACACACACACACACAAAAUCAGAACACCUCUCUUCUGUCCAAUAAAUUAUAUUUGCCUUAUCAUCCCUCCCUGGUUUCCAGCAGUUGGCUUUCUCAAGAGAACUGCUGUAUUGUACAGCAUUUCCCCUCCUGUAUUCAGUCAGUGAAUCCCUGCCUAGGUUAUAAACUUCAGAAGUCACAGGACUUACUGACACCCAUGCUCUAGGGAGCCCACACUCUGACACUCCCUGUAGCUCAGUAUGUAACACUGCUUCUUCCAUCCCCCAUGGCUGUGGAUUUUCUAUUCGUCAUGGUGGAUGAUGAAUUCUAUACGAAUUCCUCCUUCAGAAGCGGUUCCUCCACUUUGUGUCAUGCUGCUUAUUUAGUUUUGCUGUUGUGGGGACUGCUCUCUUUGGCACGCUCUAUCUUAUUACUCUCAGUUGUGUGAUGACAUCGUUCUGAAAUUGCUAUGAUCUCCUAGUACUGAAGAACUGAGGGAAAGGGAGAAGAUCGGUAAGUAAAUUUGAGCCCAAUUUGGAUGACUCACUCCAGAAUAUUAGUUUAAGUGGUCUCCAAGCAGCUCAAGCUGAGCCUGGAUGAUAAAGUAGCUUCCAACCUUUCCGUUUGGCUACCCAUGUAGUGAUAGGCUUAUACUGGUUUGCUCAUAUGGUCUCGGUAUGGGCACUAAAAUUCCCACAUCCUGACCAGGCCAAUGGGGACAGCAGGUCACAAUAUCCUUCCAAAUCCACUCUAAGACAGUGUCUCAGUCCAUCCUUCAUCUUUCACAGCCUCUCGAAUGUAAAGGCUGAAUAAGAAUCAGGUGUGAAUUAUCACUGGUUAGAGAUGGGCAACAGCGACCCCUAUGAUGUCUCCUGGGUACUGUGUUAUAACUGAAGCAAUGCACCCCUCUUCCCUUGAUGAUGGGGCUUUAGCUACCAUUGGCCCAAGAAGACUAAUGGUUUUGAUGGGGACUUGCAUUCUUCCUUCAGGAUUAGCCAUUAGCCUCUGCCUCUGACCCCUCAAGAGCAUGUCACUGGACAAAGAAAGGCCCAGUGAGGCAGGUUGCCUAGACAAUACCCUUAGCUACCUAUGACAUCUCUCCCUAGGGAAUGUUGGAAGUUCUUUAUUCUGUCCAUAACAAAGGAACUCUUAUACAGCUAAACUAAAUCCCUUCAUUUGCUUACCCACUCGACAUGUCUGAGUUUAGUUUCAUGGGUCUCCCUGAGCUUGCUGUAGAGACACAGUCUCAACCCCUUAGCCCUCACCAUGCCCUCUCCAGAUCAGUGCCCAGCUUGGGAAACAGGACACCAUGUUCCACCCAUCUCUCCCUUCUCAACUGCCCUUCCAUUUUGGGAAAAUGAGAGGAGUAACUUUUUUGUCUUUCAAUCCCUCUGUUUUAAGUGUUUCCUCUUUGGGUCUUAUGCACAGUAUGAAAAUGACCCAUCAGCUCUAACCCUUGCUGGGUUUAGGAGGGAGAUCUAUAAAGACCCUGAAAUACUUUUCCCUAGCAUUGCAACUAAGAUUCUAGAUGCAGAUGUUAGAAAUUCAGCAUUAAUUUCCCUCUUCCAUUUUAACAACUGUCUUUUCUUAUCUCCUUGAUCAUCUUCAAGCUCAGGCAAAGGCAAAUUCCAAAGCAAGGGGCAUUUGGGAUACUUCCAAAUAGUAAUCAUUUAUAUGUAAUUUCUAAAACUUUGUUUUUAAAAAAUGAAAUAAGGUUCUUGUUAACUUAUUAUUUCAAAGUUAAUUUGAGCAGCUUCUGUCUUUCUGUAAGGGAUCUGUGUCCUUUAUGUUUUGGCUUAACUAACUUAUGGAGCUUUCUAGUUUUAGAGGGCCCUUUGGUAUUAUUUUCUCUCUCUUUUUUUGCUUUAUGAGUUUUCAUUAGUUGUGGUUUGUAAAGUAGAAAGCACAUUCUUGAACGUGUUAGUAUUGUAUUUCCCAAUUCCAUGGGUAUCAAGAGUUGUCAUUCUUGACAAAUUCUACCAUGAAAUACAUUUUAGACACUCAGGGUGAAUGGGCCUUUCACUCUAGUUCUUACUGUUUGUAGAGUAUGGAUGAAUUUUAGGCUCCUAGAGCAGAAAACACACCACGUGUCAAAUUGAUUUGACUCGUUUCCUCUGUAUCUUUAGUGAGACAAAUACCCUAAAUGACGGUAUCCACUGUUACUGCUGAAUGUCCUGUGGUUUCUCCUGAGGUCCUGGAGGCUCAGAGACUGAUAUCUUGGCAUAUCAACAAGGCUUCUUCAAUCACAGAUUACCCUGGCAUCUAGCCACUGGCUGGCUGUGGCAGAGUAUGGGGGAUGUGGGGAAUGGAAGCCGAGUGUAAUGACUUCAAACUUGCUUCCAGAAGGAUUCCAAGUGUGUAGGACCAUAUUCUUCUACUGAAGAUGGCUCCAAAUGGGGUUGCUCUCCUGCAGCCAUGGCUAUAGCCAUUGCUCACAUAGUUACAGCAAUCCCUCCUUCCUGGGGUGGUUCUCAACCUGUGGGUCGUGACCCCCUUUGGUUUGAAAGACCCUUUUGCAGGGUUCACAUAUCAGGGAUCCUGCUUAUCAGAUAUUUACAUUAUGAUUCAUAACAGUAGCAAAAUUAUAGCUAAGAAGUAGCAAUGAAAACGAUUUUAUGGUUGGGUUCGCCACAACAUGAGGAACUGUUUUUAAAGGGCUGCAGCAUUAGGAUGGUUGAGAACCACUGCUUUAAGGCCUAGGGGUUAACUGUAGUCACCUAUUGUGAUCAUGGCAAGGAUGCUUCAGCAUCUUUUACCAGAUUCCAUGUGAGUCUAAGCGUCAUCACAAACUCACCAGUUACAGCACUGGAGUGAACUAUAUCUCCUUCCUGUCAAAUCUGGGAUUCACAUCACCUUCCCAGCAAACAGUGAGAUUAAUAUAAACUUUCUCACCCCUUCCCCUUGAACCCAUCUUCUUGUGAGUUAAUAUGGAUUUUUUUUGUUUUAUUUCAUAGUUUUAAAUCGGUGUUGGUGCUACCAAUAUUACUUCAUGCUGAGAAUUAUUUUAGGAAGUAUUGAUGACAUCUUGUAUUCAAUUCCCUCAAAAAUACUUCAAAGUGUUAGAGAAACUCUUAUUUAGAUGGUUUGAGGACUUUUGUGCCAAGAAUGUCUUGUCUUUAGUUAGUCACUCAGGUACCUAGAGUAGUUGUCAAAAAGAGUAAAUGAGUUGUAUAUUUUUUAAGUCAUCGCAUAGCUUAAAAUAACAUUCUGUUCCCUUCACAGAACAAUGAUCUGGCUUCAUAUAGAAUUCAUGAAUCACCAUCCUCUUUACAGCCGUUGGCUGUUGCUUCCAGUAUCUCCUGUAUUUUAAGACCAUGAAGAAGGAGUCUGGGGCCGACCCAGUUUUCCCUCAGGCCCAGUAUGGCCAACCUGUUCCCCGGUACUGUCAGCCAACAUUCUAUAUUUCAGAAAACUCUCCUUCCCACACACGCAUACUUUUAAACCAUGAAGAUAUCCUGCUUUUUUCAAAGUUCCCUAUGAGACUUAGCAUCAAAGCGACACUUCUAGUCUGCACCAUAAUGCUUACAAAAAUCAUGGUUUUCCGAAGUUUACCAACUGGUCUUGAAGACUUAGCUCUAAGCAAGAAUGCCUUCUUCUCCUUGAAUUACUUUCAGGAUCAGCAUGGAUGCACAUUUUUUGUAACCCCCCUCCCCCAGUGGUUUGUGAUCUGUGAUCGAUUUAAUUAUCUUAUCAUUCAGAUUUUCCAAGUUUUGAACAGAGCAAGUCCUUCUGCUCUGAGACACUGUCCUUAGAAUCCUAUUGUCCGUUCCCAAGAUGAUGAAGGGACAGAGAAUCAAAUGUCUGUUGUCAAAGCACCCAGUCUUGCAGUCAUGUCAUUUUCUCCUGGUGAGUCUAUACUGCCAUGAUUGCAACUAGGCAUCAGUAUACAGAGUUCAUUACGUAGGUCUUCAAACCUUCGUGGAGGACACGUGCUUUUAUGCACCGAAUGUCAUUAAUGUCUGGAUUCAGUCGUAAGUAUAUACAUAUCUAUAGACACACUUUGGAGAGGGAUCUUAAAGUAAGGCAUUAUCUAUUUAUUUUUGCAGUAGGGACCCAGGACCCUAGAUAGCUACUAGGCUCACAGUAGACACACUGAGCAAGCAUCCUCAUCUUCAGAACACCACUUGGAUUCCCUGUCUGUCUAUGUUCUUGGAGAACUAAAAAGCCUCUCUCCAUCCUCACCUCCUUACUACCUCUCUAUGUAAGCAGGCAAUCAUUUCCAGCCUCUUCAAAGCUUUUGCAGUCACUGUGCUGAGUGGGCAGGGUUCUCAAAGGCUAUUCAAAUCUCUAGAGGGAUCCUUAAAGACCAGAGUGGAGACUAUGGGAUAACCCAAAAAACAGGGCUGGGGGGGGGAUGAAUAGUGUUUUCCUUUUUCCUCCAUGUGGAUGUUGUCACUAGUGGCCCCUCAGGGCAUCUUUUGAAUGUGUGAGUAGUUUGUGUGUACUGCAGGCAUAUCUCGGAGGGCUGUGUACAAGGACAUACAAGCCCAUAUCUUAGCCCCAUCCUGCCAUUCAGUUUUGUGACACAUGGCUGUCAGAGAUAGCACCCAGUGUCCCUGGGCUCUGCCUUCCCUGCAAGGCUGCCACAUGCCACCAAGAGAUGCAGUUCUCUUUUCGCUCAUUUUGCAUAAUCAGUUCUAUUCUGUCGUGUUCUCUCACACAUGGUGCUCUGAGACUACGCCGGGAAACAGGAGUUUUUUUUCCCCUCGUUCAGAUGAGUAGCCUAAUUUUACGUGUGCUCAGCCUGUUUGGUAAAUGAAGUCAAUUACUCAUGGAUCUGUCAGAGGAAGAGAAAGACUCAUAGAGGCAUGGCACCUGUUUUUAGAUCCAGGGGUCAUCUCCUCCCUCCUAUCCCACUGAGAAUCAUAACCAAUCAAAUUGUUGCCCUUCGAGUUGAUAUUUUCAGUUGUCUAACUUUAAAAUCCACUGCAUGGGUUUCUUCGGUCGAUGCUAAAGGAUUCCCCCCUUUGAAUGCAUUCAAGAUUCUUCAAGCCAUUUCCUUAUCAAAUUUCUGCAAACACCACUGAACUAGUUUCUUUUCCCAUCACUGUGAUAAAAUAUCCUGACAAAAGUAGUUUAUGGGAGAAAGGGCUUUAUUUGGUUCACAGUUCAAAGUCCAUCAGGGUGGAGAAACGCUGCUGGUAGGAACAUGAGACAGUUGGUUGUGCUGCAUCUACAGACGGGGACCAGGGUGGUGAAUCCCCUUGGGAGGCUUCCUUCCUUCUCUUUGGAAUGCUGUCCAGAACACAAGUACAAUUAGAGGAUGGCUCUUCUCAUCUCCGUUAGCUUAACCAAGGAAGUCCCUCAUAGGCCUGCCCAGGGACUAUAUGGAUCUAAAUCAUCCCUCACAAGUGUGCCUGGAAACCUGUCUCCAGGGUGAUUUCAGAUCCUGCCAAGUUGGAAAUCAACACUAACCAUCGAAGCCAUUUGGCUCAGGGACUCAGUUUUGUCAUUGACAAUAUCCAUUCUAGCAAAAUCACACCUUCCCCAAACUUGAAAAAUAGCAAUGGAGUAGUCCCAACAUUUCACCUCCCUCGAGAGAUUAUAGGGAAGGUGAGAGAUGGCCCAGGAAGGAAGUCGUGCCUUCAUGCCGGAAACUCUCAGCAGCACCCCUUUACCUGCCACAGGAUUCAUAUGGCCCCCCAACUUCCUAAAGUUCACCCUCUACCAGGGCCCUACAAUCUAUACAGACACAUUUUUCUGUUGAUUUCCCCUCAGCGUGGACACUCUUUUCUAGCUGAGUGUGGUCUCACUGACUGUGGUGAGCAUGGAAGGCAAGCACCCGGAACAGCUCCUGGCACUGAGGAGAUCAGACAGGAGCACCAGAAAGAUUAGCAAACCUUGCAUGUCAGCAAUUAUUCCAGAUGCAGGACUCUUUGUGUUUGUUUGCUUUACUCAACCCAGGGUGUCCAAGAGGACAUCCUAAUCCCUCUUGGAAAGGCAGGCUAUGGUUGUGUUAGGUCUGUGACAUUUAGCAGCUAAAUGACUCUAAGACCUUCCCUCAUAAACACUUAACAAUUUUUCUUCCACUGCAAAAACCUUAAAGCUGACAGGGCAAUUGAGAAAUGCUCGUGUGGUAACAUGCAUUUUUAAAAAGGUUCCAAAAUGUUGAAGAUGUGUGCAAAUGUUAGCUUGCCGCGGUGGAACACUGGGAGAGGGCUAGUGAAUGAGUGGUACUUAAAAGACCUGCAAAGUAGAUCUGAUUCUCCAAUCUUGGUACGAUCGAUAGAUGCUUCCAUUACUACCACAAGUAUGUCUCUUCUGAAACUGCUCUAGCAGCACAGUUCUAACAGGAGAUGAAAAGUGAGCAAUCUAAAAAUAGAUGGCCAAGAGAGGGAUCUGACCUGUGAAGGGACUCUCUGGGCUACGGAGAGCUGUGGGUGGUUAAAACCUCUCGCCGUCCCCUGUGAGCUGGUGAUCAUCUGGGGUCUGUUUAAUCAAUUUGGGGCUCCGGUCUUCUUCCUCUUCCUGCCCACUGCCUCCUUCUCAGUCAUUCCACUUCCCACGAACACGCCUCAAGGUGGAGGGACCAGGAAAACACACAUUGAUUAACUCAAGCAGGUCAACUGGAUGACAUUCAGCAACCUACAGGGAUGCAAGAGUGGGCUAAGUGGAAUGCAGUCCGUGAGCCCUCUGUGAAUCUCCAGCCAUUUUUUCCCCCUUUGGUACAGCCACAAAUAACUAGGGGUGGACUAGACAGAGUGCUUCUAAAGUAAGUCAGUCUCUCUCUCUCUCUCUCUCUCUCUCUCUCUCUCUCUCUCUCUCUCUCUCUCUCUCUGUGUGUGUGUGUGUGUGUGUGUGUGUGUGUGUGUGUGUGUGUGUGUGUGUAUGUAUUGGCCCAUAAAGCAGAUUUUAUGUAUACACUUCUUUUUUUACUCCUGUCUUGCCUAUUUCUGUGGUUUAGGUUACCUCUGGUCAAAAAAUAUUAAAUGGAACAUUUCAGGAAUUAACACUUCAUUGGUUUUAAUAAUUUGUGUCAUGGUGUGCUGUAAUUAUUGCUAUAUUUUUUGGUUAUCAUUUUUAGUCUCUUUCUGUGUCUAAUAUACAAAUGAAACUGCACACCAGGGUAUGUUUAUUUAAAAAACAACAUAUAUAUGUAUAUGUGUGUGCGUGUAGAAAUGUGUGUAUGUCAGGGUGUGUGCAGGUGUGUGUGUGUGUGUGUGUGUGUGUGUGUGUGUGUGUGUGUGUGUGCAGGUGAGUAUGUGUGAGGGAGUAUGUGUGUGUACAAUCUGAGGUUUCCCCUCUCCACUGGAGUUCUAACACAUAGAUUACAAGAUGCUGUCAUGCAUGUAGGACAGGGGAUAGCAGAUACAAAGAAUGUUGUUACAUGGAAGCAAUUGUCUUCCAAAGAGAAACUGGUAGACCUGGAGGUGAGGGGGUCCCUUUCAGUUGCCUCCUAGCUGAGAUAGUGCAUUCUUUACCUGAAUCGCAUUCAGGAAGCAUACUUCCACUCCUCUGAAAACAAGCUGCUCCAAACAUCUGCGGGGAGACAAAGGCAAGCAUGAGGAAGGGACCCAGAGAUGAAUAUUUCAGCAGAAACGUGGGAAGAAAUACGCUGCAACUUGCAAGCAGCCUUCUGUACCACAUGCCAUAAAUUAGCACAAUAUAAAUUUAUACAUAUUUACACCACAUAGUCUCUAACUAUAUAAAUCUUCAAUACUCAAACUUGUGGAGUAGGUGUAAGGGAACAGUCCAUAUGCUUAUUCGUGUUCCAUGGAGCUCUAGGGAACUUUAUCAUUUCAUUCUCCCUCCGUGUAUAAUUGUGCAUACAUUACAUAUAAUGUGUUUGGGUAGAUACACAAUUGAUAUUGUACAAGUACAUAUAACCACAUAUUAAUUAUGUAAUUAUAGAUAUAAUUGUGUAAAUAAUUGUACAUAUAUACAAUUUGAGAUGUAUAAACAUACAAGACACAUGGUUCUAAUGUUUAGAUUAAUACCUAAAAGCAAAACUGCUUUAGAAAACAUUGCCCUUUUAUCCUGAGGCAUUAGCAGGCAAAGAAAAAAGUAGUUUGCUUCAAUUGAGCACUUACCUAGAUGACUUGAGUAUUUCAACACUGUCAAUUAUGACUCAUCUAUACAGAGAUUGUAUUGAGUAAACGAUUCAUAGAUGGAAAAGAUAAUGCAGGGACUGUCUCAUCCCCAUGAAAGCAAAUAAGAUAUUAAUGCCAGGCAGCAUGCCUGCUGCUUGAAAUCUCUUUGCUGGGGAAAGAGACCUUGUAGGUGCUGGAAGUAAAGGGUAUGGCUGAACUCAGAUUCCGAACAGUUGGAUUUUGUGUCUGGAUCUGCCAUUUCCAUAGUCCCCUGUAGGGAGACACCGUAACAAUGCCUCCUAAGGGCUGGCUACAGGUGUGCCUGACCACGCCUGUGAAGGCGUGGUCAAGGUGAGGUCAGGAUGACUCAUGAUAGGUUUUUAAGGGGCUGCAAGGCACAUGGGGGCCCUUCUCUCUGCCUGCCUGCCUUGCUGUCCCUGGCACGCUCUGGCUUGCAUUUGGUUGGUGUUUAUCUGAAUAAAGAUAUCUUAACCUUACAGACUGUGGAUCGGCUCUCAUUAUAGUCCCCCAAUCUGUCAGAGGACAGGGAGGGUAUGGGCUAUCAGUUCUGAAUAUCUAAAAUACGACACAAAGGCAUGACACAGAGCUGAGAGAAGAGUCCUUGGCAACUGUGUUGUCUUUAUAUGUACUUUCAAGUCAUUGUUAUGGUUUCUUUUCGAGUUUGUUCAGCAAACAAAAUACAUUCAGUUUCUUUUACACUUACAGCUUUCUUGAAAGCAAGCUACAGCUGGGUUGCUGUUGACACUGUUUCAGACGGAAGCCAGCCAGGGGCUGGAGAGAUGGCUUAGCAUGCACUGUUCUUUCAGAGGCCCUGAAUUCAGGUCCUAGCUCCAUGCUCACAAAUGCCUGGAACUCUAGUUCCUGAGGAUCUUCUGUCUUGUGGCCUUUACUAGCAACUACACACACACACACACACACACACACACACACACACACACACACACGUAUGCACACAUGCAUGCAUAUGUGCACACACACACUGACAGCAACAACAGUCUCCACACAGUUCUGUGCCCAUGGUUCACUCUGAAUAACCUUUCCCUCUUUGCUCAUGUGAGGAUACUGCUAACAGCUCCUGUGAGAAUCAGACAGGAAACACUCCCUCUUCUGCCCACAUCCUUACAGGCGCGAAAAGAAGUUCCAACUCACAGAGAUGCCCUUAAACUCUAUGUAGUGGUCAAGACAUAAUCUGUGGUCAUGGACAAGAACGGAGGGAAGCCAGGUCCUCAGGGACACCACCUGUGUACACUGCCAGUCUCAAUGCCACCAUGUCCAGUACAGCAGAGAGUACAACAAAAUGCCUCUCAGCAAACUUAUUGGCAACUAUGGACUGGUUUUGGCCUAAGUAAGAAAGAACAGUGCCUAAAGGGAAUAGAGGCAUGCCAUUUUGUAGGAAACCUCACCCAGCCUCCUCGUUUGCCUGGAGGAAGGACCACCAACAAAGGACAGUGACAAUGCUCUUUCUCACCCUUUUCUUCUUUUAUCUCCAUCACACUCUUCUUGGGAUAAUGCAGGAAGUUGAGAGUGCCCAGGCAAGACUGACAUUUCCAAUGCUGAAACAUAGAUCACUUUCAGUGGAUCAUUUCCCAGAAAAAAAUGCAUAUGACAAAAAACUGUAAAUACAGUUUUAGGAAGCUGACUGGCACUUGUGCUGGACAGUUUUAUGUCAACUUGACACAAGCUAGAGUCAUCUGAGAGGAGGGAACCCCAAUUAAGAAAAUAUCUCCAUAGGAUCUGGCUGUAAGGCAUUUUCUUAAUUAAUAUUGAUGGGAGAGGGCCCAGCCCAUGGUGGGUAGUGCCAUCCCUUUGCUUGUGGUCCUGAGCUGUGUAAGAAAGCAGGAUGAGCAAAUCCUGAGGAGCAAGCCAGUAAGCAGCCUCCCUUCAUGGCCUCUGCAUCAGCCCCUGCCUCCAGAUUCCUGUCCUGCUUGAGUUCCUGUCCUGACUUCCUUCAGUAAUGGACAGUGAUGUGGAAGUGUAAGCCAAAUAAGCCCUUCCCUCCCCAACUUGGACUUAGUCAUGGUGUUUCAUUAGAGCAAUAGUAACCCCAAGGCAACACUCUAAUCCGAUUGAAGAGUCUUUCUGGAAGAAUGAAGAGAAAUAAAUCAAGGAGGGGUUACUGAUUAGCCAUGUUCUUUCUGCAAGACUAAAAUGAGAAAGUGGGGUGUAUCCAGUUUCUUGAUGAUGAUAUAAGAUUGUUGUGCCUUGAACAACACGCAUUAAUGAUUUUAUAAUGCUGGGAGUUGGAACCUGAUAUGGUUCAGUGGGGCUGUCUUCUUUCUGGAGGGUAUAGGGAAGAAUUUUUUCCUUUGUCUCUUCAGCUUUUAGAAGCUUCUCAUGUUCUUUAAUCAUUCUCAUCUCCACCUUCAUCACGCCUCCUCCUUGUCUUUCUCUGACCCCCUUGUUUCCCUUGGAUAAGGACUCCAGAAAUGACACUGUACACACAUGGAUGGUCCAAGAUCUCAGACUCCUUACUACCCACCUCUGCAAGUUCCUUUGGUCCUGUAAGUCACCAUGUUCACUUUGUUUGAGAAUAAGAAGAGAGUGUCUGUUAUUGCUCAGAGCUCUCUGAAGGAAAAGAACUGGCAUAAUGAUUAUGAAUUGUUAAAGAGGAUUUAUUAGAUUGGUUUAUUUAGGAAUGGAAUCUAAUAGAUCCUACAGACUGUGCCAAUUAUGUUCCAUAUGUUCUGGAGAAUAAUCUAGAGUUGUGUGCUUUCUGUUUUGGAUGAUUGCAUUCAUUAAGUAAUCAUAUAGUCAGAUCAGGUUACAGGGUGGGUAAAGAGUGAGUAGCAGAUAGAAACCACGAGACAGAGAACAUCUCAAACCAGGUGCUCACACAUGCAGCAGAGGUGACUGGAGUGGCCCAACUGAGUGAGCAGGCAAAGGUACCAUCUAACCAGGACAGGGGUACAAAUGUCCAGCAGAAAUCCCCUGGGGAAGCUUCACUGAGGCAUCAAUAGAGUGCCUACUGCCACCUUCCCCCUUCACCCCCAGUGAUGCUUUCAAGGGAAAGAACAAAGGGCAAUAGAUAGAUGACAUCAUCAAAUCAGGCCCUCACGACAUGCAGCAGAAACCAACCAGAGUAGUCUAGUCCAUCAGCUAAGGUUCCCAGUUGAGAUUUAUUUCCAUGAAUGAGAGUCCCCGGCUGAAAUUCCCGGUUUCCACUCCACCACACGAAUUCUUACAUUAUGGAAUAAAAAUCAUCAUCUAGAUUGGAAAUCGUUCACCUUCUAAUUGUUCUCAGGGCCACAUAAUUUUAAUACUCUUAGGGGUUUGCUGUUUUCCCUUCUUCUUAUUACCAAGUUAGGGGGACAGCCUGCCUUUAGGCAGAGGCAAGGGAGGGCCUCUUUACUCCUCAAAUCCACUUUCAACGAGCUCAAACAGCAUAUGGUUAUUUACCAGUGUAAUGUGCCUAAUCCAGAGAAGAGACAAGACUUCAAAGCAGAGAAGCUGACUGAAAUAAUGGGAGUGGCCCCAUGAUUGACACAUUUGUUGCAGAAUAUUUCUUUACACUGUGUGAAGAUGUGUCACUGUGACUGGCUUGAUAAAGAGCUGAAUGGCUAGGCCGGAAGAGGUUAGGUGGGGCUUCUGGGGACAGAGAGGCUUCUGGGAAGAAGAAGAAAAGUGGAGUUGCUAGCCAGACAUGGAGGGGAAGCAGGAAGUGCAAGAUGGAAAAGAGAUAAUGCCGUAUGGCAGGAGGUAGAUUUAUGUAAAUGGGUUAAUUUAAGUCAUAAGAGCUGGUGGCACCAGCCUAAGCUAAUGGCCAAGCUUUUAUAAUUCAUAAGAAAUCUUCUUGUGGUUAUUUGUGAGCUGGUGACUGAUGAAAAGAAAACAUUCUAGACACAUCUUCCAAACUUCUCUGUCUACAGAAGAGUAGUUGAAUGUGAGGCAAGUGUUGGCAAAGGUAAGAAAGUGUGCCUCUGUGCUUGAGAAGAGAUGGAGUUGGCAAAGGUAAGAAAGUGUGUCUCUGCAUUUGAGAAGAGAGUAACUCUUUCAACCCCAGAGGGAAAGUCCAAGUGGGCUCACUGUAUCUACAAUAUAACUGUUAAGACUGGGUAAUUGACAACUUCAAAUGGUAACAGGGAUGGAAUUGGUAAGAUUAAAGAGAUGCUCAAGCAAAUGGAGCCUGUCUUCCAACCAAAGUAUAUCCAGGGCUGGAGAGAUGGCUCAGUGCUUAAGGUGGUAUAGUUCUCCUGACAAGGGCCGUACUUCUGAAGAGUUCCAAGCACCCAUAUUGGGCCACUCCCAACUGCCUAAUUCCAGAUCCAGGGGAUCUGAUGCCCUCUUCUGGCCCCACAGGCAUCUGUAUGCACCCAUACAUUCAGUUUUUAAAUUUUACAUCAUUCUCUCCUCAAUGUUCUGGAUACAUACAAACCAUUUAAAAUUCUAAAUCAUUCAGAUCUCCUUACCUAUCCUGUUUAAUGAAAGUAUCCACACAGGUAUAUAAACCAUUAGCAAAACAAAUGAAUAUGAAUCAUCAUGCAUUAGGACUUUACAUUUCUUUAAACUUUUGUAGAUUUCACAGACUGCUAAGAAGCUAUAUUCUUAACAAAACUCACGCUGGGUAUGCCAUUUCAAUAUGAACUCAAUAUCUGAGGCAAAGGAAAUUAAAUCAGCACUUGAGUUGUUGUUUUCUUUUUUGAUCUACACCAGACUGGUGCGUCUGGAUCCUGCGAUCAAGAUAGAAUGUCAUUAUCCUGGUUUUUUAGUCUGUGACCUGUCAGAGCGGACGCUGGGGUUUGAAUGGAAGGCAGCACAUGCUUCUGAGAUACCUAAUUGUGGCAACACAAAAAUGUUGAAUAAGCUUCGAAUUGAAAAUGUUGUCAGUUCUCUGCCUAAGCCUUCAGUGUAGAAAAAAAAAAAAAAACGGGCAGAAAAUAGAUGGUCGGGCAAAGGCUGUUGUUUCUCUGGUGUUCUCAGAAGGCAGUUUGCUGCUCUUGGCUUUGCCUUGCUGCUGGUUCUGAACUGAGGCUGGCAAGCAGACAAACAGCACAUGACACACACACUCACAAUCACACGUAUACACUCACAGACACACACACACACUCACAGAGACACACACUCUCACACACAUUCACAGACACCACACUCACACACACAGACACACACACACAUUCACAGACACCACACACACACACACACACACACACACACACACACUCACUCACACAUUCACAGACACCACACUCUCUCUCUCUCUCUCUCUCUCUCUCACAUACACAUGCGCACGCACACGCGUGCACACGUGCACACACGCUCCAUGCUCAGCUCCACAUGUUGCUAUAGCUUUGCACUGGCGUACUGUUGGUCUGCUCUCCUCUCUCCCCUUUAAAUGGAAAGCCCUCCAGGGGAGUUUUGUGUACUAUAAACAAGAUCUCUGUAGGAUCAGAUAAUAGGGUCUGCGUGAAUGCAAUGCAAAGUGGGAAGGGAGCAUCGAGCCAGCAUGCUAAUGCUGAUGGGAAAUUAUUCAACAGAGACUCGUAUUGACAGAGGCUCAUAAUAAUAAAACGCCACUCUCAACUGCCAUUUUCUCCAAAGAUUUAAGCCAAAACUGACAUAAUUCUCAAGAAGUCAUGUCUAGACACAGACCUUAAUGUGUCUCUCCCACAAAAUCUGAACUUGUUUGAAUGCAGCAUUGAGGUGAAGAAUGGGGAUAUGAUUAAGGCUGAUUUUAUUUGGGUAAUCAAGGAAGGCCUCACUUGAAAAGGAGUCUCCUUAAAAAUGAAAAAUUGAGUGGCGGAGAGAGCUCAGAAGGACCUAAGUUCAAACCCCAGAGCCCAUAUAAAUAAAACAAAUGUGGCGGCACAUUUUUAUAAUCCCAGCAUUGAGGUAGCAGGGACAGGAAGAACCCUGGGGCUUACUGACCACCCAGCCAAGCCUACCAGGCAGCCCCAGACCACUGAGAGACUUUGUCUUAUAAAACAAAGUGGCAGCUCCUGAGAAACAGCCAAGGUUGGCCUCUAAACUCCAUAUCCACUUCUCCACACAUGGACAUGGAUGCACCCAUAUAAAAAAAGAAGACUGGACACUGCCUAGAUAUCAACUUAACAGCCACAGGAAGAUGCUGUUCUCAGUGUCUACGGGAUGAUAGAACGAGGCUGCUGCAUCAUGAAAUCCCAUAUAUGUCACAAUGUUGAUUCUACGUGUUCUUUCCCUUAUUAAUCAGAGGUAGAUGUGCGUGUGUGUGUGUGUGUGUGUGUGUGUGUGUGUGUGUGUGUGUGUGUGUGUGUAUCUGAGGCUGAUAAAACCCAAGCUCCACUGUCAGUGGGCUGGCUGAACCAGAAGGCCCAUAGUUCCAGUUUGAGUCUGAAGACAGGAAGAUAAAGAAUGAUAUCUCAGCUCCACAGUGGAUGGCUGAAGUUGUUCCUACAUAUUCACAACAGGGUCAACCUUUUAUAUUGUUAAUUGGUUGGCCGAUGUCAACCCAUAUCAGGAAGGACUUCAGUACAGCUAUUGAUACCUUCAUAGACACAGGCAACGCUUUCACAAGUGCCUGAGAACAGACAAACUGAUAUAUGGAAUUAGCUAUUGCACUUUCUGUUACACAGCCUUGCAAAGACUCUUCCAUCAAUCUAUAUGAUGAGUGCCUAUGAUGUGCUAAAUUUUAGACUAGGUAUUAGAAACACCAAAAGCAGACAAACAAACAAGUGAACUCUACUCUGUCAAGAAACCAUGAGACCAGAGCCCUGCACAACUGCCUCUCUAUAAAACUAGUUAAAAAUGGUUUUAAAAGCAAAAACAAAACAAAACUACUUUUAUGUCUUUUUUUUUUCAAAAAGUGGUUCUAAAUGCAUUUUGAAAGUAAAGGAUUCCAGAAGAGCUACAAAACUGGGUUAGGACAAUGAGAACCUGUGGUACUUGAACUAACAGCCAUUCUUUCUUCUCCCUUCCAAAUGCAGUGAGAUGAAAACUAUACUCCAGGCAAGUAGAGUCAAGACACCAUGCCCUCUUUCAUAGUGCUCCCACUCACCAGUUAUGGCAGUGGGUACCACUGCAUAACUACUCUUCUACAACAAGAUGCCUUGUGUCAUGGAUGGCAAUGUUCGAGAAACCCUACUGGGGCAACCAAGGGAUGAAGAAAUGGCACACUGAAGAAGCCACACACCCAGAAGCUGGGACCAGGUGGGCCAUGCUUACCCUCAGAGAGGGCACCUACUCUGCAGCCUGGAAACUCUGUGUGUUCCAUAGGUACAGCAUAUGAAGGAGGGGUUAGCCCGUCUCUGUGGGAGGUCUCUGUCGGAGAGCAGUCACAUCCAGGAGGUGGAAGCUGCAGGUGAUAGUUUCUGAACUCACUGAGUUCAGUGGAAGGAUGACCAUUCAUAUAAACACCAAUAUUGGAAGCAGAGAAAGGGUUUGCUGUUUCUCUGAUCCUCACCACCCUGGGAAGGCAUUGUCGUUUCUAUAGAAUCUGGGGCAUUAGGGUCCUUAACAUGGCUGUACCUUUGUCAACAAUACACAUUCACUCAGGACUUCAUCCACUCCCAUGAAAUACCUGAUGAAUGGCACUUAAAGAAGACAGAGUUUAUUAAGGCCCACCAUUUGAGGUUCAGUGAUGGUGACAGAAGCCUGCAGCGGCUGCUCAUAUUGCAUCCACAGUCAUGCAGCAGAGAGAGCCUUUCUUUAUACUCAGUUCCAAGAGCCCAAGCCAAACACCUUCUAAAGGAAUUGAUGUCAUUAAGGAGCAACUGUGAAGCUCAAACCUAAGGACAGUAGCAAGAGGCUGGUGAUAGAAGACAUCAAGGAAGAGGUCAUCAGGUUCAUCUGCGGUAAAGAUGCGAUCACAUGCUGGCUAACCUGCAGGAGAGAACCAGAGAGAGAUAGUAAUGGGUUGUGAGGAGCCUUCAUUAAGGAGGGAAGUUUCUCCCUCAAUGGAAAUGACUAGAAACUGUGAAAAGACACAGUUUGAAUCGAAGGCCCCCUGCCAAUAGGAUGACCCAGUUAAGAACCAAAACAAAGAACAGAUAAACCAGGGGAAUACAUGGCCCCCCACCACCCCUCCUUCCAGUGUCUGCAGGCGAGGAUGUCUCAGCUCAAGAAGAAUCUCCAUCUCAACUUGGUGGGGCAGUGGCAGAUCUGUCACAUCUAAUGACUUUUUUAAUGUAUUUUUAUUUCUUUGAGGAUUUCAUACAUGUAUACGAUCAUAUCUGCCUCCCAUUCCAUCAUCUAACUCCUCUCAAGCCCCCACCGCCCCCACGUAAUCCCUUGCCAGCUUCAUGUCCUUUAUUUUUAACCCACUGAGUCCAAUCCACACUGCUUGUGUAUGUGUGAGCAUGGGGCCACUCACUGGAACACAGACAACCUACCAGGAGUCACAGCCCUGAAGAACACUGACACUCCCAAUAGUUCCACAGCUAAGGGCAGGAUAAAUUCAGUAUUUCAUCCAUCAUUUCCAUUUCCCUUUCAAUUUGAUUUUCCUUCCAGUAUUUUUAUCUUAAUAUCUGCCAGCCUGUCAACGCUUAGCCCCGUGUUUCAGGCUAUUUCUUCUCUAGAAUGCACCAUAAAGGGCUUUCUCUGUGUAGUCACAGGUGCUGGGGAUAAUGUGUCUGCCUGGGAAAUAUGUUCCUUUGUGUCAUCAAAUAAUGCUUUGUAUUUCUCAGUGGGAUCACAUCAGCUCCCCCCCCACACACACACACUUAAGUUCUAGCACUCAAUACCUCACUAUUUUGUUCUUACUUUAAAUGUGGCAAAACAGAAGCACCUGCAGGUUGUAGAAUUGUAGGGAGCAGAACAACGCCAUUACCAGUCCAAAAUGUUAUUACUAGAAAAGACUUCCAAAAAGCCUGACAGAAUACCAAUGUUCCAGGAAAGCCUGCUUCAUUUGAAACACCAUUUGCUUUGUAAUUCCUUGACAAUAGUAUCCAUUUCUGUGGCUUUGUAACAGAAGAUGGAUACUAUAAUACGCUGGGUCAUGUAAUAUAAUUCUGACAAAUGCUAGAAUAAAAUCAAUACAUGAAAACAUUAGCUUUGCCAUAUUGGUAUGGAACACUAUUUAUGCUAUUUCUGGUUUAAUUAAGGGAAUAAAAGGGCUGCUCUCUAUUUUCAAUCUCCAAGGUUAAGAAAUUCCUUAAAACAUCCUACAGUCUCUUAGUGAUUUUGUACGUUGAAAGAAUAUUUUAUAGUCAUAUUUUAUCCCGUGUCAUUCCUUGAAUGCAACUCUGACAUAAACUUAGUAUGCCUUGCAUAAUUGUAACUGAAGUCAAGAUAUCCCACCAUUAAACUGGAGUUUUGAUUUAUGUCUCUGGAGAAACGAGUAGAUGUUAAGAAAUGUCUUUUAUCAAUCUUUCAGACUCCUUAGGGGGAAAGAUACUAUGAAAAAGAUGAAGGUGAAGAAGGAGGAGGAGUAAGUGGAGGAUGGAGAGAAGGUGGAAGAAGGUGAAGAAACAGGAGGACGCAGCAGAUAUAGAAAAAGAGGGAACACCAUAAAUUGUCCCCCAGGUUUACUUUCCAAAUAGAGUUUUCAGAAACCAUUUCAUGGAUUUUUUUUUUGGUUUUUCAAGACAGGGUUUCUCUGUGUAGCUUUAGAGCCUAUCCUGGCACUUGCUCUGGAGACCAGGCUGGCCCCGAACUCACAGAGAUCCGCCUGCCUCUGCCUCCCGAGUGAUGGGAUCAAAGGCGUGCACCACCAACGCCUGGCCUCAUUUAGAAGGUCAAUUUUCCACAAUAAUACACAUCAGAGACUUUUUCUGAGAAAUAUGGCAGUCAGUGACCAAGUUGGGGCUCAAUGAUUUCCAACUGAGCAGGUAUGAAGAAGGGUUAAGGGAAGGAAGAAAAGAGACAGAAUUUCUUGGGCAUUUUCUUCGUUCUGGGCACACUUUCUGACUAUUUACAUAUACUAUGUAGUUAUCCCUUGGUUUCCAUGGGUGUUAGUUCUAGGGCCUCUCCAUCAAAUACCAAAAUCCCUGGAUGUCCAAGGCCCCAUGAUAAAUUGCUGAGAGCCUGCUAAUCAACUGCCCCCAUCACCCUGUUUUCUUUAAACCAUCUCUAGAAGACUUGCCACAUCCAAUACAGCACAAAUAGCUGUCAUCUGCUUUGGGGGGAGAAUGAUGAAAAUGAGAAGAAAAUACAUACAUAUUCAGUAUAUAAACAAUCUUCUCAGUUAUUUUUAGUCUAUGAGUGUUCAGAUUCAUGGGUGUAAAAUCCAAGGAUAUAGACAAUGGACCAUUGUUUUAUGAGUGUUUGGACUCAUGGGUGCAAAAUCCAAGGAUGUAGACAUAGGACCAGGACCAUUGGUAUAAAAUUGAGGUCCCAAGGCUGAAAAAAAUGCCCUCGAUCAUAUAAUGCACAAGGAAUUCAGUCUAGUUGUGUUCCAUGGUUUGUGUUAUUUCUAACACAUCUGAGUUUGUCUCACAGGAAACCUUUGGUAUGGCCAGCAGAGUAAAGAGCCAUAGAAUUCAAGGGAAAACAUUGCAAGUAGUCUUGCAUCUGGAAGCUGCCCACACGUAGCCACUGAAUCAAACCAGAGUACGCAGUGAUGGACAUUCCUGUGGGCUAAGAUAUGAGACCCCCAUAGACCCUGAGAGGUCCUUUAAGAGCUCUGGAUGCUCUAUUUCACAGAGAUCUCCCUACACUCUGCACCAUUUAGGGAUACGGGAAGGAAAGUCAGUAACUGCAGUCCCCUUGUUGUGACUAAACCAUGUGGUGGGUGAAUUAAUGACAUAUUCUGCACUUUGCUAUUUGGAGCUUUAAAAUUUGGGAAUGGGGAUGGGGAUGAGGGAGGUCUAUACCUGAAUUAGUUUAGUUCUUCAGGUGAAUCACCUUCACAUUUCUUCUACUCAAACCAAGAAACCCUAAUAAUUUUAGUCAGGCCUCAUGCACACAGCAUCCAGACCAGCCAUUAUACUCAGUCCCCAUGCUCAUCCAUCAGUCAUUGUAGCUGCUCUGGACAGAGUAGCCUCAAGGCAUCAGGAACCAUGCCUUAAUGUUCCAUCAGUGGUGACUAGGACAAUGCCUGGCGCAUAAGUGCUAUCUCCAGUCUUGUUGAAUUUCACUUGAUUUCUAACAGCAGUUUGUAAUUGGAAAGGAGCCAUGCAGAUUUCCCAGGGAUAGGUAGAAAAUGAAUAGCACAGACAAGGCUAAAAGCCAAGUGUGGCCCAUCACUUUUCCAUACUGUCUUAAAAUAGAAGUGGGCUCAGUGUCAUUGAGAAUUGUGUCUGUGACUUGUACUCUGGCUUGCUAGUGACUAAGUCAUGAUGAGAUUAGUGGAGCACCUCUGGGGAUGUCUAUGAUGGUGUUUCCAGAGACAAUUAGACUGUGAGGACUAUGAUAUAAUGAACAAUUACUCAUUGCCAUUAUUGGGAGGUGCUGAAAAACAGGGAGGUGGGGUCUAUUUGAAGGCAGUAGGUCACUAGAGGCAUGUCCUUGGGGUCAUGGCUUUCCUCAUCUCUUUCUAUGUCUCCCUUUUCUGCACAUUCUGACAGACUCAUGACCUCUAUCCAUGACAAGCCAAACCCUCUGAAACUGUAGACCAAAAUAAGCCCAUUCUUCCUUUUUAGUUGUCUAGUCAGCUAUUUGGUCCCAGCUACACACAGGUAACUAAUACAAGCCCCAAGAGCAGCACUCUGCAAGAAUUAAGGAAAUGUAUAGACAAGAGGCUUUUAACUUCAAGCGACAGAGAGCCUAUGCCAAGUGGCUUGGAUAGGGAAUGCCAUUAGCUCCCAUAAAUGGAAGUCCAGAGGUACUUUUCUAUGGGGUACUGAAUGCUCAUAUGGUGUCAGGCAAAAAAGCAGGGAACAGGACUGAGACCAAGUUCAGGAUGUCACCUUCAAAGCCAUCUCUGUGACCUACUUCCUCCAACCAGCACCCGGCUAAUGAAGGUUUUAUAGUCCCCCAUGUUUGUGCACCACCUGAGGGACAAGUGUGCAAAUCAUGAACCCAUGGAUGACCUUCUAGACUAAAGCAGAACAGCUGGUGAGGUGCUACACAUGGCAUGUGUCUCUGCCUUUGUUACUUCUCUCAUGGCUGUGAUAAGAUACACUGACAAAAGCGACUUCAGGGAGAAAGGGCUUAUUCUGGCUUGCAGUUCAAGGGUACAGUUCCUCAUGGAGGGGAAGUCAAGGCAGCAGGGGCUUAAAGCAGUUGCUCACAUUGCAUUCACAAUCACAAAACAGAGAACAAGAAACACAUGCUUCUACUUGUCCAGCUUUCCUCUUUUGUGCAGUUUAGGACCCAACCUAGGGCACGGUACUACUGAUGGUGUGCAAGUCUACCCACCUAAAUUAAUGUAACCAAGAUAACAUCCCAUGGACAUACCCAUUUCCCAGGUAAAUUCUUAAUCUCAAGUUGACAACUGAGAUUAACUAUCACAAGUCUCUGGUCUGUCUCAUGUGAGUCCAUGGCUCCACCCUCUUCCCUGUUCUUUUUGCUUAAGCUGCUGGCGAAAAGUAACUGUGGUCCUGGGCCCUCCAUCUGCACUCUAAAGGCCCAAAGCAAGAGAAGCCUAUCUUCUAUUCUUCUAUUCUCUAUUGAAGACAAGGAAACAUCUGGAAUCCCAAGAGGCAUUCCCUUUGGUCUCAUGAGCUUAACUGGAUCAUGAAUGCCUUCAAUGCCCCCAUCUUAAUGAAUGCUGUACAUGAAUGGAAUUACAAUGAUUGUCUCAGACCCAUUAGGGUGCAUACCUGGGGGGUGAGAAUCAGGAUACAUGACAACAGAAGGAUGCUAUAAAUGUUAAAGAGGUGAUCUCAAAAGCCAAAGUAUAUGUAGGGCCAAAGUUUACUUUAUCAGCACAAGUGUUAACGAAGCAGAAAUAUAGUACAUGGAAACACAGGACACCAGUGUUGGGAAAAACUUCAGAGCUCCAGCUCCCACGUGAUGAAUGGUUUCCUCUUGCCAUAUUUAGGAUAGUCAUCUAUCCAUGAAGAGAAACUCUAUUAUACCUGAGAGAACAGUUUAUUAGCAGUUGCCUUCAGCUGGUUUCUUGUCUCCUGUUUCUCCUCCUGACACAGCUUCAGCCCCCUUUCUUACUCCAUCACACCCUCACUCUUUCCUCAGACUCUGUCUUCACCUCCCAAACACCACCACUGUCUCCACAGAGAGACUUGAGCCCAUCCUGAGAACAGCCUGAUGGCUAACCUCACAUCACUUUGCUUUUGCUCUCAUUAUGUGUCUGUUUCAGUUUUCACAGCCAAGAUUUGCCUCUUAUUCUAGCUCCUAACUUCCUAAUGGGAUGCACUGUCUGCCCUUGGUUUCUUCUGGUGUCUACCUAUACCAAAACCCGAAGAUACUCAAGUCUAUUCUACAAAACAGAAUAUAGAAGUACAUCUGAACUCCUGGCCCCAGUGACAUAUUACGUCCAGCAAGACUGUGCCUUCCAGACCUCCCCAAACAGUUCCAGUAACUGAGGACCGAGUGUUCAAAUGUUGGAGACUACAGGGGACAUUUUUAACUCAAACCAUCACAACAAAGGUCUCAUAAAAGAGCUUCUCUGGCUGCUAUAGAUUGCAGAAUGGAACUGUGUCUAUGGCCUGUACCUCUGCUGCCAACAAAGCUGAAAUCACUGGGCCUAGUGGCCAACACACAUAAUUCCAACUAUUUGUCACUCUGAGGCAGAAAGAUGCUAGUUUGAGGCCAGCCUGGGUAUUCCACCAGACUUUGUUUCAAAAUAAGACAGGGAAGGGAUGUACCUCGGUGGUAGACCCUGGAUUCCAUCUUCCAAGAACCACUGCCGGCCAUCUAUGUCUGGUAUGAACCAUCCUCCCUCCCUGCAAGCCAGUUAUUGUUGAGGUAGCAGAAUUCAGAUUAGAGGGAUGUUACGGCAGCAGUUUUAUGAUCAGGAAAACCCAGAAUCUGCCACCUUGUUCUUGUGGCCCAAAUGAUCAGGUACAGCUGAGGCCAAGAGCAAGAAAACUCCACAGCGGCCACAGGGCUUCUGGAGAUUCGAACUCAGGUCCUCACAUUUCCAUGGCAAGUUCUUUAGAUACUGAGCCAUCUCCCCAGCCCCUGUAUCGCAUUUAGUUGUUGGUACAGAAAUAGGAACUGGCUCAAAGAAAGGCAACCCUUCUCUCCCUAGUGAAGCUGGAGUGGAAACCAGAGUAAAACCCCAACUCAGCUGCAGAGGGCAGUUGUGCUCGAUUUUGCAUGAGCCAUCCGUGAAAAAGAAAGAAAAGAACAUGUGUAACGAACAUUUCCUUGGUGGGAAAAAAAAGUAAUAAUUGUAGAUCCUGGCUAGCAAUGUGGAUGGUGUUCAAAUGACUGAAGCAGAUGGAGAUGGCAAAGACGCAGGAAGACUCACUGAAUCUCCCCAGCACACAGCACUGUUGGACAUUCAUGGGGAGCUGGAACCAUGAAAUUCUUGAUUCUAUGUCCCGCCAAGAGACAUGUCAAAAGAGUUCCCAGGAAUGAUGCAGCAUGCCCAUCUAAGGCUUCAGGAUCUCUAGGAAAUGGAGUGUUCUGUCCUAAACGAAACAAAGACUGAAACCCACAAACAGUGUCAGAGAUGCCAAUAGUGCACAGACUUGGUAUUGGGAUAGCCACUGUGAACUCGAUCGGCUGGGGUAUAGCUCACUUCACAUGAUACGCUACGGACUUGAGCAAUGGUAACAGCAGUAGAACAUGCUCUGCACUGGGCUGAGAAACCGAAUCUCUUGAUGCAUUGCUCUCAGGAUCAUGGGAGAGGCAGUUCGGAACCGUGGUGGGGGGCUAGGUCUAAAGUUAGACAGUGCAUGGGCCAUGGGGACUGAAACAAGUGACUUCAAUCUUUCUAAUUUCAAUUCUUUCUCUACAGAUUGGAAAGAGUAAUAUGGCUGACCUCUGUGAUUUGUGUGCGGAUGAAAAGGGGUGGCGCCCAGCGUGUUGCCUAUUUAGCCAUCACACAAGAAUUGGCUUUAUUAUUUCUAUACUGGCACACCGCUUCACUGAAGUAAUUGCCCAGUCCUGCACUGGCCUGUGUCUGAGUGGACAGUGAGGCAGAUGUCUAAGGACGGCGCCUGCCACUACUCUGCAGGAGCAAGGGCAUCAAUCAGACAAGCAAGGCUUCUGAUUUGUCCCUGCUACAUUUCACUUCUCCAGGCUCUUUCCUCCACCCUGCUUGGAGUUUUCCAUGUCAACAGUAGGGGGCAGUGUUCCGGAAACUGGGGCAUCUUCCAGAACCUAAGGAAUAUGCAGAGGCAGAAACUGUCUCUCGAGCGCCUGUGAGCAGGCAGCUUCAACUGAGAACAGUCUGGGCACUGUUUCACAUGAGCUACAUGGAGCAAUUUCCAUUCCCACUUUACAAUGCAAGUUGUUUUCCAAAUGUUUCUAAUCGUCCUUGCGUCUGCAAGAGUGGAACCACAGAUGUGGGGAGUCUGUACUGUAUGAAGCAGUGCUUCGAGGAGCAAGACACAGGCAAAGCACUCAGAAUGACCCCUGGCACUCAGCAGAUGUUCACAAACUGGUUUAACUGAACCUGGAGCUUGCCAAGUCAGCUGGACUGGCUGACCACCAACCCAAGGGAUCCUCGUGUCUCAGCCUUCCAAGUACUGGGAUUACAUGCAUAUCAUCACAUCUGGCAUUUAAAGUUGGUCCUGGGGAUCCAAACGUGGGUCUUUUGUGGCAGGUGAUUUACCCACUGAGCCAUCUCACCAGGCCUGCACUGGAUAUUUUAAAAUCCUCACCAAGCAAAGCUGACAACAGGAGGGUAGAGAACCAGACACUGGCUGCUUGCUUUGGGAAUGAGCACCAGGAGAGAAAAAGCCUAGAUUCAGAGAACAGAAAGAACAAGAUGGCCAAACCCAAACCUGUGCUUCUUUGCCAAGUGCCUUGACCUGUGCAGGGUAGAAGAAGGCGCUACAGUGCACCAUCCUGGGGCCAAGGAAAAACUGAC
rnacentral:lncRNA from 1 species